rnacentral:lncRNA from 1 species
UACAUAUAUAUAUAUAUAUAUAUGUUCUUGUAAAGAUUAUAAGGUAAUUAGCCCAACUGCAACCAAUAAAUAGCUUUGUAAAGAAAGAAGCAAAAUGAUUUAUAUGUUGACUAAUUUUAUGUCGAAUGUGGAUUGCGACUUACGUGGAAGUGAUGGAACUAUAAGCAAUAAUAUAGAAUAGUAAUUUGUGAGUCCCUUCUUUACACCCUCUUAUCCCAGGUAUACGUACAACACUUUCUAAUAUCAGCAUAAAUUUGUUAUCAUAUAUGGUAACACUUGAGAAGGAAACUAAGACUUCCAAGUUAUCAUUAAGCCUUUGUAAGACGCAAGUCUAUUUUAUUUGUCCAUGUCAUCAUUGUUGAUUGGCCAAAUUAUUUUUUAUUUAUUCUACUUCUUUUUUUGGCCGCCGACACCUAUGAAAUUUUUUGAAUCAAUUUGACGGCCAUCACUGAAAUUUAACAAAAUAGACUUCAGAAAGUUUUAAUUACAUUAGUUGGUCAAAAACAUAUUUUUAAAGUUCAAUAGUCAAAUGCAUAAAAAUUGUCAACUACAGUGGGGUAUUUCUCAUUUUUGCCAUACUACAGUGGUACAAAUAACACCCUUGAUUAUCCUACGAGAUGUCCUCACCCCCUCUCCCUUUCUUCCAAUCACGAUUUGUUAGCAUUAACCAAGAUUUAAAAACACAACAAAUAUUAAAUUUCAGUUUGAACCAUAUUUUGAUUUUGUGAGAUGCAUUUAACAGUUUAUAAUAGUACAAAAAUAGCUUUGAUGAUGGAUCAGAACUCUUCUACCACCAAUAGUGAACAAAGUAACGCCAAUUUAUUUUGGCAAUAGCGGAUAUUGUGAUCCACAAAAGAUAAAUCAAACCAGUAGUAGAACACAUAAGAAGGCUCUCCAACACAUUACUUAUAUCCAACACUUUAGGAGAACUUUGACCUAAAUAAUGAACACUUUACACUUGACUUUACAAAUUGAACCCUUCCAAGUUCAACUAAAUCCCUUUAGAACUCAAGAUUUACAUAUUUAAACAUGCAAGUUUUAAAUAUUCAACGUUCCAAUAAGCAUUUUUCCCCGAGGCCUAUACGCAAUAUUCAACCUAAUUCUUUCUAAAAGAGAACAGAAGAAAUAAACUCAUCUCAAGACCCUUGGUCAAUUAACAACCAAAUGAACAAGGGAACAAGUUGCAGUAAUAACAAAAAAUAAAAAAAUAAUCCUACUUCAUUAGCUCUUUCCCGUGAUGAUACGCACCUGAAUUUAGGGUUGAUUUUCUUUUUGACUUUAGCCUUAAACAACUUUGGAUUAUCCUUAUUCCGCUCGCAGAAGGAAAAGAUUUUCAAUGCUAAAGGAUGUGUAAUGUGAACAAACAGUAUAUCCAAGCCCAAACUGUUUCUUAGCUUUUCUUCAUCCUAAAUCAAGGAAACACCAUUCAAGUGAGAGGGAUAUAAAUUUUUUUAUAAAAAAAAUAGAAAGAACAUGUAUGGAAUCUGUAUAACUAUGCAUGAGAAUGUGUGUCAAGGAUUACCGUUAAUGUCGAUUCCACUUUCGUAAUUUCCGAUAAAAGGCAAGACUCGUCGAUAAAUGGCAAUUUGCAAAUAGCCUGCCAAUUCAAAGAAUAAAUAAAACCUAGCUUUCUUAGUUAAUGGUUAAAGAAGGGAUAAUCAUUCACAACUCAAAUAAGUCAAGGUUGUCUUAAAUAACGGUGACCAAUAUUAACACUAUUGUGUCCCUAAAAUUUACAGACGAAAAUUUUCAUUGUUUAUACUUUUUCUAACAAUUUUCUAAUUCGAUAUGUAAAGAUAAGUAUCAGAGGCUUAUGCAUCACCAUGAAGGAAGUUUUUUUAUGUUGUUUCUGAUAAGUAUCACGAGAAAGGAAGAUUUAAAACAGGUAUCCCAAAAUAAUGGAAGGGGAAGAGGUUCAUUACAACAGAACAGUAAAAUUGCAAAGGUGUAUGAUUAAAAUUGUAAGAGUUAAUCGAGAAGGUGUACGAGUAAAACAUGCAUACACGCCUAAGAGUACCCAUGUACCCCAGUGGCGGAGCGAGGAUUAUGAACCACUGGUGGUGCAAAUACACUAGAUUGUUUUUUAUUUAUAAAAAAAACUCUCCAAGAAUAAUAAAAAAAAUAGUGAAUUUAUUUUAAAAAUAACUAUAUUAACAGUAAUUAAACCUAUAUACUCUAAUAAAACUAAUUAUACAACUGCACACAGGAUACAAAAAAGUUAAUUUGUGGAAACUUGCUAUAUGUGUAAUAUAUCCAUUUUGUUAAUACUUUAAUUGUUAUGCCACUAAGACAAGGACAAGGACGAUCUUACCCAAAAAAAAGAAGUAAAAGGACACGUCACUUUUGAAUAUCAAUACUUGGUUUUUGGUUUGAUACUUUACGAUUUAUCAUAAACCAAUAACACACAAGUGAAUUAAAUAGUUAAAUAAUAUAGUGGAAAUACAAAAGAUACACAUACACACACACACACACACACACACACAUAUAUAUAUAUAUAUAUAUAUGAUACAAGCAAUUCUAAUACUCCAUCCCUUUAAAAAUUACCAACUAUAACAAUUGUGAACCAAGUAAAAACUGCUACUAAUUUGCAUGUGUUGCUUUCGAAAUUUAAAUGAAUUUAUAUGAAUUAGGACUUUAUAAAUCGACAUAAAAAUGUAAACUGUAUCUCUAAUUUUGGAAUGGAAGUAAUACAUAUUUAUUUUUGUAUUAUAUAUUAUCUCUUUUUUGGUAAACAAACUCAUCUAAUUAUUUUCGCAUUAUUAUUAAUAUUAUCUAUAUAUGCACAGUAUGUUGUGAAAAUUCAGUAAGGGCAACUUCCCCCCACCCCCCCAACUUGCCUCCAAUUGGCUCAGCCAUUGCAUGGACAGAUUCUCAAUUAGCCAAAAACAACUGUCAGAAUCAUAUAGCAAAAAUUGUAACCGAGCCAGAAAGGAGAUUAAUUAAAUCUUUAAUCAUACCGCACUGAACCUUGUUGGAAGAAUACUUCCUCAAAAAUAAAUAAGCAGCCAAUUAAGAUAAUAGAUAGACUACACCGAAAUCAGUACCUGCCACGCAAGACGUUUUCCAUUCAUAUCAAGCUCAAAGUCUGCCAGAAAAUUUUGCAAAUAAAUACCAUAAAAGGAAUAUAAUCAGUUAAACCAAUUCUACUGGAACUUAAAACGCUCAAAUGAAAAAUAAUAAUAAAUAAAUAUAAAUAAAAAAGCCUACCACUUGGAUAAAAGUCCAAAAUCGCUGAUGAUGGGUCUGUCAUCAAUUUCCGGUAUGACAGAGGAAGUGCUUGUGCACUACAUGUGCACCAGUUUGAUUACUUCCUGGUCAUUUAAAUAACAUUAAAAGAGGAAAAGAAAUCCAGCUCUACCUUGCAGCAGGUAAGACGCCCAUUAACUGAUCAAAUGGCUUGAAAGGUUUUCCAAGUGUGAAGUGAAUUUCCAGGUGAUUAAGACCAUAAAAAUCCGAAGCAAAUGGAGCAUAGUGAUAAGGGUAAAACCUGCGAGACAAAGAUUGUUAAACAAUGAAUAUAUUAAUUACACACCUACACAACAGUUUUUCAAUAUUCAUUCACCCAUAGCAUGGAGCAAUGCUUUACCUUUUUCACAUUUUUCUGAUUAUACAUCUGUACAAAUUCAUGCACCAAUGAUGAAAAUAUUUACUUUUGUAAUCUUUUUAAAAUGUUUUGGUGAUAUUUGAAGAAUGUUUUAACUUGGGGGAGGGAGGAAAGGGACCUAUCUAGUAAGUGGCAGGUGGGGGCAGCUGCCCUGUUAAGGUUUUUUUUUCUUUUUAUCUACAAUAUUUAGGAAGUCUAUAUAAAUGUAUAGACUUGGCACUACAAAAUUUCUUAAAGUCGCACCACUAUGCAUUAUGCACAGAAAACUAGAUUGUACUACAAGUAUAACGAUCCAUGUAGAGUAUUAAUUUUUUAUUUUAAAUUUGUAAACAGAUAAUUUUAUAAUUAUCUAAAUAAUCUAGUAAUCACUUUUUUUAACAAGUAAAUAAUCCAAUAAAAGAGCCAAAAGGGGAUGAACCCAAGUACGCAUGUAGCCUAUACAUAGAGCCUCCCAAAAAUAUAGCUACUAGGCUCCUAACAUGAAUUUCCCAAAAAAUCAACAAAAUGUACACCUAGGAAUGCCUCAUGCAUCCCAAAAAAAAGUAAGGAUAAUAAAAGAAAUAAAAUUUGCCCCAAGCUCUUUCCUUGCGGUCCAAAACCUGACAUCCACUGCAGGGCAUUGAACCUAAAUACAUUACCUCCAAAACAUAUUGAUCUAUACCCAUCUCACCAAAUGAGAAUAAAUUUCUUAAAGAUGUCUGUAAAUGUAGUAAUUUACAGCAUCCAAUUAAAGUUAGCCAAAUCAAAGUUUAGGGAGAAAAAUAAUAAACAUAUCCCCAUCAACAGAUAUCCCACAAUUCACGGUUAACUCCUCCUAACCAAGGUCGAUUAGCUAGAGUUUAAGGAGAUAAUUACGAUUUACGAUUAAAAAAUUGGACAAGAGCAAACGACUUCAUAACCCUUUCAAGUUCUCCGACAAUCUUCAAAAUUCAUAUUCCUCCAUCUUUUCCGGCUAUCUUUUCUAAGACAUCUUCUCAGGCCGGCACACAAAAUUUAAACUUUGUUGUCCCUCUUUUCCUUUCCUGUCGUCACAUAAUUACAUGAACAUAGGCUAGAAGAUCCACAAAAUCUUAAUAGCUCAUUGCCAUCCGCUAGACAACGCUGAUGUUUCUUUGGCAGUUUUCUAACUUUGCUUUUCACCAUUUCUCUAUAUUUUUAAAUUGAGUUUUCCAUUUUUUUUUCAUACUGGUGGACCUUCAAAAUACUUUCAAUCCCACUACAAUUGUUGUUGGAUUUUAAUAUGCUGAAUCGAUAAAUUAACUCCACAAUAUUCCUUAAUUCUCAGCCUCUUUCAACAACUUCAAUAACUACAUAAAAUAAGGGCAUCUGCUUAAUUUGAAUCGAUAUUUUAAAAGCUUUAGAAAUUUGAAAGUGUCAUGAAAUAGUUAGAAGGCACAAAACUGGAGGUCAUUAGCAAGAAUAUUAGUAUGAUUAUUAAAACUUCUCGAGACCAAGAAAUUACAUUUGAAUGUUUUUUCACCUCAUAUAAUGUGAUGUUGUGAAGACUUCAAUUAUGAGACGGCCAGCGAAGAUGAGUUUUGAAGAUGGCUGGAUAACUUGAAAAGAAGAAGAUGGAGUUGUAAAUUGGAAAAUCAGUUGAAGCCUUUCGAGUUUUAACUCUUGCCGGUUUUUUAUAUUUUAUUUUUUUAACUGUAAUUACAUUUUUAACUCUUGCGAAAAUCAGUUUAAUAUGCUCCUUAUUUUUCUCCUAAAAAUUUUGAUUCGGCCAACUUUAAUUGGAUGAUGUUAUAGGACAUCCGUUAGAAGUUUAUUCUCCUCACCAUAUACCAUCGUUCAUUAAUUUUACAUGUAAAAAAAAGAAACUGGAAUUAUUGCAUAGUUCUUUUCCAAAAUAGAAAUUUCAAAUACUCAAUCAUAAAUUCCUGUGAAGGGGAAAAAUACAAGCUACAAUCUAAAAAUGUCAAUAAAAAAGUUAAAGAGUAGAAUAGUAGAAUUUUAAAAAAGCUCUUUGAAAUCUCAAAAAUUAAAAUCUCUAAGCAGUACUCAUUCUUCUCUUCUUCACAUUUUCUUCUUUUACCAAAAAAAAUCUAUUUAUAAUCAUAGUAAGCAGGGGUGGGCUUAUCAGAAUCACAAAAAUUAAUAAUGAAUAAAUAGAAUGCAAACACUAACCAUUGCCAAGAGCACACUCCUUGAUAGUAAUAGUGCAUGACCCAACAAAUCCCUUCAAUGUAUAUCAUAACCUAUACAAAAUAAAACACAUUCAAAAGCCAAGCACAUCAUGAAUAAACGAGAAAAAAGACAAACUACAAAACUGAUUCAAUAGCUAGCAAAACAGAUUUCUAAACACCAGUCUAUGCAAGCACAAGAAUCAAAUAAAUAAGGACAACAUAAUGAAAAGGAUAUCCUAAAACAGUUUGAGUAAUAAAAAAUAUAAUAAAAGUAAUGCAAAUGUACCCACUUUAUAAUCUAUAAAACAACUAUUAAUUUUGCAUGUUAGAUAGGUUCCAAAGGUAAAACUUAUUGUUCAUUGCAUGAAAGACUAGAGAAGAAGCAUUCAGAAAACUAUACAGCUAGCAUAACACCCAUAACUGUUAGUUUUCCUUACCGCAUGCCUUUGAAUUUUUUCAAUGUCGGCAGCUGUUUUAACCUCAAACUUCUCAGUGUAGUAUCUUUCCUUGUAACCCUCUUCUCCUAGUUUGACCUGACAAAGCAAGGCUCAUAUUAAAUAUUUCUGCAGUGAAUAUUUGUAGACCAUUUUCUAAGAGGAAGAUUGCUGCAUAAAUCCACACAACCUUGUCGAUUGUAGAACUUCCGUUAUCAACCAUGUUGCUGGGUGAUUUCCAAUUUUUUUUCUUAUUGGACUGCAUUAGCCAUAGUGUGAACACUCAUAGUCAUCAGAAUCAUUUCAAGAAAAUUAUGUAAUCAGGAAUUGAGAAGUUGUUCACAUGAAACUUACGUUAGUAGCAGAACCUCGAAAGCUAGUUGCCCUCUCCUUCCAUGGCUGUAAAAAUGACGAAAGUGAUCUGACGUUCUAGUUUUCAAGCUAAGAGAUCAUACCAUUGUAUAAUAAAUAUAGCCUCACUUUAUCGACAGAAGCUCUAUAUAUUAUCAGUUCAAUAUUAGAUUAUUUAUUAACUCAGAAAUGAUAACUGGUACACUUUCUUUCAAGGUAAAAAAAUUCACCAAUGGACAUAUACCAAAACAAAUUCAUGUGAAAUUAAGAAUAACACUUACAUUUGUCAAAGAACGUCGAAAGCGAAUUUCCAUUUGCUUAUUUACCUGAAUCAAUGACAUUAUUAUAUUCUAUUUGCAACUCUAGGUCAGCAUAAGAAUAGUAGUGCACUCUAUUGAUUAAAAGAGUUCCCAUCUAACAUUGAUGAGUAUAUUAAAAAGAAAAAACAAUGAGUUUUCAAACUAAAUAUAGGUUCCCAUACAGCUACUAAACAAAAAUGAUUUUAAAUUGAGAUUUCAAUAGCAAGCAAUUUAUAAAUAUAAAAAAAAAAACUCCCUCAACCCCACAAAAGAUCUUUAAGUACCAAAAAAAUAUCCACCAAAAGAUGUUUUAAACGCAAAAUUUUAUAUAAAAAGUAUGUUACACUCACAAGCAUACUUAAGUGAAGUCCACUAAGUUUUUAAAAAAGAGAGAAUUAUUAGUGUACGUGAGGGUCAACUAUGGUAAAAUUAAAAUUUAUUUUAUAAUAUCUCCUUGUUUUUCUUAAUUUGUUUGAGAAGUGUACUUAAGAAGUCGUUUUUAGGAUGGAUGGAGUAAAAUUGUAUUCAUCAAGACAAGGUUCAUAAUUUCCUAGCCGUGUCUUGGGGUGGUUAUGUGAUUGAUGUGUGUCGAUGCUGAACUUCUGUAGGAAAAUUACGUAGAUGUGAUAAAGACAUUUAUGUUGUUCGCAAUGCUAAAGGAACAAAUAAUAAACUAAAAUCAUUUUUUCCCCUCAAGUCUUCCACAUAUGUGGAAUAAAUUAGAUUCUACCAUUAUUUUAGUAACUGAAGUUAAUUGUACAUUAAAGGGUUCUACCUUUUUUAAUGAUGGAAUUAUAUGUCAGUGGCACAAUUUCAAAAAAAAAUCUUUUGUUAUGUGUGCCUCGAAUUCUUGUUCAGGAUCCAACUUUUGACCCUAUCAUAGUUAUUUGUGUGGUAGCAAAAAUUAUGCGUCUCAAAUUCUUGUUCGGGAUCCGACUUUUAACCAGUUACAUUAUUUGGGUCCAUUAUUGUUUUAGUUCUUCACACUUUAACAUAGUAAUCUACCUCUAGCCCGUGGUUUUUUCCGAUUAGAGUUUUCCACGUAAGUCUUGUGUUCUCGUCUUUAAUGUCCUUCGUUGAUUUCUAAGUUUGCCAUAGUUUGUUCUAACAUCUUCGUUUGUCUUUCAAAGUGAACUGUAAACAUUAAACAAGCUAGGCCAAGCUUACUAAUAAUCCAUAUGUUACAAUAACUGACUAAAUCACCAUUCCAAGUCCGGCAAAUACCCCAAUUUCCGUAAUCCAUAAUAAAUUAAAGUGUGCUGGAAACCAAGAGAAUACUAUCACCACGUUUGAUAAAUAAAAUAAAAAAAUAAUUUAAGAAAGUAUGCUUUUUAAAAUGAUACAAAGAACCCACAACAAGGCAAAAGGCUGAAUUUAAAUUAAGGUAAGCAGAAUAAUAAGGCAUAAAGACAGAUGAAACCUCACUACGCUUCCUAAAGAUUGCAUUCUCAUGCAAUCCCACUGCUUGUACAAACUGCUCCACACGAUCCAAAUUCACCUAAAAAAUUGAAGAGAGAGAAACCAACAAAAAAGAAAUAGAAGCACAUAAAUUAAAGUUGCUUAUAGUUUCACUAAACAAAUCCCAGAAGCAAAUAUUUUAGAACAUUAUACAUAAGAUUUUCCAUGCUACAACUAUAAGACAUUCGUGCUGAUGGUUUUUUGUUAACCAAAAAUUAGUAUUCACAAGGUGCCAAAAGGGGCACCAUCCCGGUAACAUGAGUUAAAAAAGCAGGCGGAUCCAAAAAAUUAAAAAAAAUAAUUUAAAAGCACUGCCUGCAAAAAAGAAAAAAACCAAACCCUGUACAACAUGUGCAUCACCCUCCUUCAAAAAGUAUGAAAAGUAAACUCUCCCAAGUCCCAAGAAGUCGAUAAAGGAGAGAAACCAGAUAAACCUCAUUCUGCAUGAAAAACAAGCUCAAGAACAGAAAUCUAAUGUGUAGCUCUGGCCUCCCUACAUACUCAAAGCACAGAUUGUUCCUCUUGUGCUAAACAGUCCACCAAGCCCACCUCGACCUCGCCUUACUCCUCUGAUGAAUCCUAACCUGCACCACUGUUCUAGGCAUAGCCCACAUCAUCUUAUGCAACGAGAACACCAUGCUUGAAGAGCAGAAUGGCACAAAGCCUCAAACUCGAACGAAACUGACCCAAAAGCUAAUUAAGGAGAACAUAAUGUCCUAUUGGAAAAACAAGUUCAAGAACAUGGAGAUAGUGAGUAGUGUUGACCUCUCUAAACCUUGAAGGACUGAUUGUUCUCUUGCUCCAAACAGUCCACUAAAGCCCAUGUGGAAUCAUAUCCCACCUCACCCUAGUUGCCAGAUGAAUACCCUCUUCCAAGCCUGAGGAAAUUGCACCACUUACCUAGGCUAACCCACAUCAUCUUACGUAACAAGAACACUAUGCUUGAAGGCCACGAUGGCACAAAAUCUCAAACUCGAAUUAAUACUCAACAAUGUAUCCCAACGAUAGAGACAGAACUUACAUCACUUUAUAUAGGACAUAGAAAACCAUAAUAACUCAAGAAGCAUAUUUAACAAAGAUAUAAACUCUUAACUACUACCUACUAUAAUUAGAUUAUAGAUUAUUAUUAGCAGACAAAAAAUAACCAAAUUACAAUCAAUUUAUCCAUAAAAAAUAUUAUUAAAUAAUUUACUAAUAAUUUCUUGUCCAUUUCAUGAUUCCGCUUGUUCCGAUCCACAAAAAGUUCGAUAAAUAAUACAACGCAUACAAGGUGAUUUAAAUUAACAAAGACAUAGGUGAGGUGGUCUCCAGAUUACUCCCUAAUGCAGUGCCCCCAUGCAAAAACAGAAAUCCAAGAUUUCCUUUCCCUUCUUGUUUCCUUUUUCUUUUUUAUUCCAACCAUAAGAAUGUUCUGAUACUUGGAUAGAAGGAUGCAUCUAGUGACGAAGAAAGUUAUUUGCUGAACCAUUGGAUUUAUGAUAACUAAGUUCUCAUAAUGACAAGAUAGCAUUGAAUAGACGAAAAUUUAAAUAUAUACCUCAAAAGAAUUAGUCAGAUAACCACCCAUUUGAACAAAUUCCUUUUUGUAGACAAACAUGAGCAAGUCAAUAGCCCCCUACAAGAUAUUUAAGACUUAAAAAAUUAGCCAAACCACUAAGUAAAAAUACAUAAAUUAGAACCAGUACAAGUAAAAUAAUAGGCUGCAGAAUGAAGUGCCACAAUACAAUGUUUAAAUUUAUUGGUUUAACAAAAGGUGUGGAUUCUGAAAUCAAAAUUACACAUAUUGCAAAUAACAAAAGAUACUAUAAGCAUUUCAAAACCCACACCUCUGAUAUCUCCAAUGAUGGCACAUGGGGAAGAAAAUCGUUUCCAACAAACAAACACAUGAAGACAAAAUCAUCAAUCAAACGUUCCAAAUCUGAGUUCACUGUUGGAUCUGGUAUUCUCAAGUCUUGAGCUAAAUAGUCCCUAAGUACCCAUAUGUUCAGAAACUGAAAAAAGGAAUUAGGACAGAAAUUUUAGUAAACCACUUGAUAGUUAGUAGAUUUACAGCAACAUGAGGCAGAUGGUCCUCUAUCUUGCAUUAAGUUGACAAAAUAAUAGUGACAGAAUUGAAAUGCACCCUAGCCUUGAUGAUGAUUGAAUUAAGUUUGGUGGACCUUAAUUAACUCACCACAAAAACACCCAAGCAACUGUAGCCUUCUGCUAAUCGCUGCCAGAAUAUUCAGAAACUAAAUUCUCAAAUUACAGUGACUCUUACUUCUAAAUCCCCAAUCCAAUCCAAACCCUUGAAAUUUGCAAUGCUUACAUUCUUUACCAAAGCUCGCUAUUAAAGCAAUUGUGACCCGUACUACUGUUAGCUUUUUGUGGAUAUAAAGGAAAUUAUUAAAUAAAAUAAAAGCCAUAACACUUGGGUAAUGAAAGAAAAUUAGUCAGGUACAUAACUGUGACCAAUUAGUACCCCCUGUAGAGGUGGAAGUGCAAAAGACUUGGCUCUUGAAUUUCCAUCCUUUGGCACUCCUAAUUUAUGACCUUAGUUAUUCAUUCAAUUAAUACAUUAUUACUUAUUAUUUGAUUUAAUUAACUUCAUUAUGUUGGAAAUUGAAAGGACUAAACUUUUAAUAUGUCAUGGGUCAUAUGCCUUCACUAUUAAUUCCACAAAGGUCUAAUUUGGCAGAAUAGGAGCAAGUUAAUCACUUGUUGAAAUUCUCUUGUAAAAGAUGUUAUCAUUUUGUAUGUCAGGAAAGCUUGAAGUGACUAGAGAUCAUUUCUGAUUGAAGGGAAGCUUGGAGAUCAUUUUAUACCUUGCAUCAAUUUUGAAAUAUUAAGGCAGGCAAGAAUUCAGUACCAGCUGGAUUCCAAUUAGUUUGAAUUAUAUUAUCCCAUAGAAUAUAUGUGUUUGAGCUAUGUGGUGCUUUUAAGUCUAACAAGUAACAACUACUCUCAGCUUGCAAAUAUAGUCCAACAUCACAAGUUCUUGCUAUGAUUGACUAACUUCUACAUGUAUUGGUUGUAGCAGCAUCCUUGCCACGGGUGAAAAUUUGAUUUUAAUUACAAGGUAUAAUCAGCCGAAGUAACUAUAUGCACGUCAAUCUUAACAAAACAGAAAAAGAAUCAGGAUAGAUCAAAACAACUAAUGAAUAAAUACAAUACCCACCUGAAACUUCUGCCUUGAAAUAACAUUGUCUACAUUCUCACUGAAUGGCAAAGGAUCUUCCCUCUUUUUCACCCUUUUACUGUUUGUUUGUACCUUGCGGAUAUCCUACAUUAGGAAAUAAAAGAUAAUUGAGACCGUACUUUCCUUUCAAUACUUAUUCAGUUGAAUCAUCCAACUAAUGCAAUUAAGAGAAACCACAUGUAAAUCGAAAAACAUACAGACCUCUCUCAGAAUAGAGAAGUGUAUUUCAUGAGUAGCCAAUGCAAGCAUUAUCAAGUCUGCAUCCUAAAAGAAAAACAACAUCAAAGAUGUAAGUACAUACUGCAUGACUACAAUCCACAACAUGAAAUUCCAUAUUACAAAACUGUGUAAAUAGCCAAAAAAGUUCAAAAGCAUUUACCAAUCCAUACAAACAAUGGCGCGUAUUUGGAUUAAAUCCCGGUAAAUUCCUUUGCAGGCGGAUAUAAGACAUUAUCUUAUGCUCCCCCUCACCAGGCACAGUGGCAUCAGAAAGAAUCACCUAGAAUGAACCUCAUGUAGUUGUUAGAAAAAGGGUGGAGAGAGAGAAAUCUUACAUCAACCAAUAAAACGGUGCAUGUUAGACCCAGUUCUUAAAAAGUUUCUAUUACCUUGAUACCCUGCCAUCCAGGAUCCUCGUUCAUUUUCAAGUGCAUAUAAUAACGAAGAGCUGAUGACAACAUCUCCAUGAACUCAGUACCAGGCGUGAUUACAUUUGAAUCCAGCUUUUCAGUAGCCACGUUUCCCACCUCAGGCUCAUGGAUUCCACUUGGCGUCUCUGUUUCAGAGGCCUGGUGGCAAAGUUUUUGUAAAUAAUAUAUAGGUGCAACGAGGGAGGAAAAAGUUUUUUAAAAAAAUAAAAAAUUUGCAAGACGCAUAUAUUUUGUUAUUUGCAACAUGAUAUAGCUGCAAUUAUCAAAACCAUAAGACUCACUUCAUCAGUUGCAUCUUUAGCAGCUCUGAAACGCCUUGCACGCUGUUGAUUCAUCUUGGCACGUGGUGCAACACCGUCUACAUACACAGGAAUGAGAAAUAAGACAUGUACCUUUUUUGUCACAUAAAAAUAUGUAGAGCUUUGGCUAAGAUAUGUGCUUGCAAUUUGGUCCAUGGACGAUGCUAAUCAAAGCCAUAGCCAUCCAUUAUUCCAUUCAUGAAAAGAUAAAGCAUAUAAGGAGAAAAGGCAUAAUAUAUUGUAGAAAAUGAGUUGUUAUCCAAUUAUCAUAUUGAUAUGUUUCAAAAAUGUGUUUUACAGCUGUUGAAUUUGUCAUGCAACAGCUAUCUUCUUCUAUGUAGAAAUUGUCUAAAAACCAUCAAAAGAAGGCUCUCUCAAAAAGACAUUAUCGUAAAUUUUGCUCUUUUUAUUGCCCUAUGCCCAGUGGCGGAACCAGAACGAUUUUGUAGGGGGGUCAAAAUUUUUAAACCAAGCGACCGGAACACCGCCGGCUGCCCCCGCCCCCUGUUCCGCCUGGACCGGCCUCCCUACCGGCGUCAGAUGCGACGACGGGAGCACCGCCGACUNNNNNNNNNNNNNNNNNNNNNNNNNNNNNNNNNNNNNNNNNNNNNNNNNNNNNNNNNNNNNNNNNNNNNNNNNNNNNNNNNNNNNNNNNNNNNNNNNNNNUCACACUCUAUCCUUUUUACUUUUACAGUUCAAUAGAAAUUUAAUUCAUUAGUUUCUUGCAAAUUAUUUACCCAUUUCAUGAUCUAUUUUCUUUCAACUUUAAUUACAUUUUACAGUAGAAACAUUAAAUUGAAGCAAUGUUUUCAGACUUAAACCGGUAAUUGAACCGAAAAACUUAUCGGACAUAUGGACAUAUGGAUCAUUGAUUCUACGAAUGGUCGAAGCAUUUUUAAACCUAUGACAUCAUAAAUACAUACAAAAAUAUUUAAUUAAUAUUUAAUAAAAAAUUAAAACAUUUCUAUUUUGAUAAACUAAAAUAUAAUGAAAUUGUGUUAUAAUAUUGCUAAAAGGGUAAUCUUAACAUUAAAAAAAUUGGUACCAAAAAAAUAUUUAAAAAAUUGGCUCAUUGGGUCAAUUUGACUGGUUUUACCGGUUCGACCAGUUGAAUCCGGAUUUGACCAAACUAGUUUAACCGGGCCAAACCGAACCAAACAUAAGACAUGUUCCCGGUUCAACCAGUUGAAUUUCAAUCCGAUUUUCAAAACGUUGUGUUGAAACACUCCAAAAGUGAAGGGAUUCUUAAGAGCCACAUGCAAUCUUAAGUGAAAAAAGUCCCUCACUUCCCAAAGUCGCUUGAUCAGUCGUUUUCCAUAAACUGUUUUGCAUGUUUUUAGGUCUUGAUGACUCUCGCGUUACUAGGUCUUGAUGACUAUCACACGUUACCAGGUCUUGAUGACUAUCACGUUACUUUUGUCAAACACAUGCUAAAGGAUAUGACAUAUCUAAAGAAAUUUAUAAGUAGUAAGCAUCAAAGCUACACCACCACCCAAACACCUAGUGUUUGAGCCUAUACUAUUAGUUAUACGACUAGUAGGCAUAGUUAACUUUUACUUUUAUAAUGCUUAGCUCCUUACUUCCUCGUAAACAAAAUGGAGAAAACUAAAGUAAUGGGGUCUAUAAAUCGAGAAGAUAUAUAUCGUUUUUUCGACCAUUCCGGAGAUACUAGCAUUGAUUGAUAAAAAAUUGUUUCAAAAGUUAAAUAUUAACCAAUGUUCUAAAAAGUGCUAGGCGGGAGGCCGAGGGGGGCCUAGCGCCUAGGGGGCCUAGGCGGGGCCUGGGCGGGAUUUUUUAUUUUAAGCCAAUUUUAAUAUUUUAUCUUACAUUUAUCUAAACAAAACAAUAAUAUAAAACAAAACAAUCUAUAAUAAAGAUAAUAAAGGCAUCUGCUUAAAGUUCAAACACAUAUCCAUAUUGCUAAUAUUAAAGGUCAAACACAAACAUGCAAUUGUUCAAAAUUCAAACAUAUUUUUAACGUAUUAGUUUUAUUCAUAAAUAAGAUUGCUAUUAAAUAAUAAAAUUUCAAAAUUCAAAAUUUUAAUCCAAUAUUAAAACUUAAAAAACUAAACAUAAAUUUAAGAAUUAUAUUGAAUUAAACUAAAUAUUACAAGUGUAUCAUCAUUUAUAUAAUUUGAAGUUUGUACAAGUUCAAAAAAUUACAACUAUAAUAAAAUUAUCCAUUUUACUUGAUAUUGUUCACUUCUUGUUGUGAUUUGAUAUAUUACAGUAUGUAUUAUGAAUAUGGUAAAUCAUUAGAAAAAUAAAUAUAUCAAGAUCUGGUUUUGGUAGUUAUUAAAAAAAAAAAACUCUCCGCCUAAGCCCCGCCUAAUUUCCUGAGGAAUUUUUUUACCGCUUUGGGCCUGGUGAGGCGUUAGGGGGGCCUAGCGCCUAGGCGGGGCGCCAAGGGGAGCCUAGCGCCUAGGCGGUGUCUAGGCGGACCUAGGCGGGAAUUUUUAGAACACUGAUAUUAACUGCACAAUACACUACUUGAAAAUUCAAUAAACAAAAAGAAAAACAAAAAAUCAUAUUAAUUGGAGGUUGACCUUGUUGAAAUUUGGUAUUUUCUAUCUUUUCCUUUUCUAAAAUUUUCUCCUCAAUGCUAAUUUUUCACUAAAAAAUCUCAAACUUCUGCUCUUUUUAAUGCUAGAAGCUGCCCUCCUUAUUUAUGGCCAGGGGGGAGGAGGGGAUACAAUAGGAAGUAGCCAGACGGUGGGAGAAGCUUGGUAAUUCCAAGCUUUAUCUGCCAGCUAACUGGCGGACAGGAUUAAGGUAUUUGCUAGCCCACUGGUAGAAUAUUGAUGACUCAUUUUGGGUUUCUGCAUAAAUAUGUGCUGAUUCUGAAAUUGGUUUUCACGUUGAUACAUCGUAGUUCUGAUUUUAUUUGUAAUUGGAUCAUUUUUCUUUUUGUCUUUGAAUGAUUUUAAUCAAGUUUUUGAUGAAUUUUGCACUUUGGUCCCUAUUAAAAAUCAAGAUUUAGACUGUUAGUAUAGAUGAAAAUUUUGGGUGCUUGCAUGAAUGAUAGAGCAAAAUUAAGCAAACUAAUGAGGCAUACGCUUUCGUAGGGAGAAUUGAGUGCCUAGCACCUGCCCAAAUUCUUAACCGAGUCCCCGAAUCCUCAAUCUCUAAUUCAUAAUGUUUUUUACCCUCAGGUUUGAUUAUUCCUUUAAAAAUAAGAACUUAAAAUGCAAGGAAUAAAAAAGAAACAAGGAAUUUCAGUUUUUUGGAUAGAAACUUAAUCUUCUGCACCCUGAGAAAUUCUGUAAACAUAUAGAUUAUAAUAGAAUUUGUAAAAGUUAUUUUUAUUAAAAACAAAAACAUAAAUAAUUGAUCUUGGAGUAACAAAAUUAUGAUUGGAAAUUGGAAAUGAAGUUGAUUUAUUGCAAAGAGAAUCACCCACCAAUUGCCAGAUAUAGAAGUUUUCGGGGUCUAACAAUGGAAAAGAUCCUAUCAACGUAUUUGAAGACAGCCUUGAAAACCUCAUCGUACGUCUUGGGAGCAGCCUAUCACAAAAAUUAUAAAAUAAAAAUUGUAAACAAAAAAAUUGAGAAAACACAAAAAAAAAAAAAUAUCGAAACAUAAGAAUAUGUGCGUAUACAUAAUUAUACCAGGUCUUCGGGAUGGAAACAGGGAUGAACGAUUCCGUUCAUAUCGAGAUAAAGAUUGUCAAUUUCGUAGCCAUUAGGGUUUGGUUGGGUGGUAUCGAUUGGGACCCGAACGCCAUUGACGAAAGUAGAUUUUUCUUCAAUAACGUCGACAGCUGCUUUGGGAUAUCUAGAUACCAGCCAACGGUAAAAUGCUGGUAUCCCCAUUUGUAUCUUCCUCUUUGCGCUUUGUUGGUUUGAGCAUAAAAAGGAAGCUCAACUGUGUGUGACUGAGCUUGUGUUUGGGAUUCAAGGAUUUUAGCAGAAAGAGAAACAGUGGAUUAGGGUUUAUGGUCUUUAUAGCGGAAACCCCAGCCGUAUCACCCGACACACCAUCUUGUUUGUAUGCACUUUGUUUUAGGUGAAUUUGUUUACCUCCUAAUACCAUUUAAAAACAUCUAAUUCGGUAAAAACUUAAAAUUAUUUGAUAAAAUUUUAUUUACCUGUUUGAUAAAAUUUUAUUACCACUUUUAUCCUCUCUUAAUUAAUAAAAAAAUAUAAAAAUUUAAAUCAUUAAAAUUUUCCUCUUAAUAAAAAAAAAUAAAUCUAUAAAUGUUGUACUCCCUUUAUUCUAAAUUUUAAGAUAAUUCUUGAUUUUCAAAAAGUCAAAUUAAGAUAUUUUUAAAUUUAAUAGUCAUUUACAUAUUUUAUACAUUUUAGUUCUCAAACAACUUGUAAAAUUUAGACUCAAAUAAUUUAAUUUAUUAAAAUAUAUUAACUAUUUAGAUCAUAAUUAUUCAAUUUUAUCAAACACCGCCUUGAUAACAAAAAUUACACAAAUUUUUUUUGAAAACCAAUACUAUAGUACCUUUAGUCCAUGUUUUAUUAUUAAUUCUUAUUCAAAAAUUAAUGAAAGUGACUUAGAACAAAUUCAUUGUUUUUUUCUGAAGUUAAUUUUAAAUUAAUUUUUUGUAUUUAGUAUAUUUUUUAGAUAGUUUUCAAUUAUCAUAAUGUACUACUACCUAAACUCAAUAAAUUCAUCAAAUUUGAAGCUGAUAAUAUUUAAAACUAACUUAAAAAUCAAACUUGAAUAUAAUUCUUAUAUAGAUUAAUUAAAUUAAAUGCCAGCUAAACUUUUCUUAAAAUAUUCUUGAUAUUUAUAAAUUUGCGUAUGUAAUUUAAUAAAAAUUAUGAAAUAUAUUUGAAGAACAUUACCUAGAUAAUAUUCUUAAUUAGAUCAUAUAAUUUUGAACUAACAAUAUUUUUAAGAAACAUACUCUUAAUCAUGCACUAGUGUCAUUGUAUAUGUUCUAAAAAAUAUGUUAAGAAAUUUGACCCGUAUAUAUUUAUUUAUAUACAAUGAGAAAAAAUAUGAUUAUAUACAAUGAGAUAUUGUAAUUAUACACUAUGCGUAACGGCAAUUGUUAAGUCAUGGUAACCGGAUCUAAACUAGAUACAGGAUGAGCAAGCUAAGGCAUGCUACAAAAUAAAUUUAAAAAACAGGAAUUAUUGUCACAGUAUAAACAGUUUGGCUCUCGCACUGUCUUACAUUUUUGUGUUCAUGAGACACCUCAUAACCAAAUUUUAUGAGGGAUUUACUACCACUGUAGCUGCUUGUCGAGCAUUUCACAAACUCACACCAGUAUGCUCAUUUCUCCUCGAACUCAACAUCAAUGAUAUCAGGUUCCGACUUUGAAGAGCUAGAGGUACCUCCGCUGCCUCUUGAAAAGAAAUCUCCUUGAGGCUGCCACACAAUGUUACCGCAGCCUGCACAGCGGAUUACUUGGUUUUUAUAUCCGACAAACUGCCUCUUGCAAGCGGGACAGGACCCCUGCUCAAGUUAGUUGACAAAUAUCAAUCAAUUUAUUAAUAUAUAGAUAAUUAUUGUUAAAAGCAAUUUAAGUACUGAUGGUGAUGCUUUAAACAUAUUAGAACCACGACUGCUGUACAUGUCGCUCAUUCUAAAAAGCAUAUAGCGUGAACUUUAAGCAUGGCCAAGAGUCGAAAAAUGGAAAUGUCUUGGCCAAUCCAAACUAAUACAUGCAGUUAAAUUUCCGAAAUUCUCAUGGUUCAUAUCUUCGGCAGAGCAGCGCUCUAUAUAUAAUUUAUAAAUUUAAAUGGGAAAGAUUUGGAGUUCAAUGAGAUGAUAUUAUCAAUACAAGCUUAGUUUUAGAGAAUGAAGUACGUAAGAGUGAGGAGGCUAUCAAGUUCAAAUAAUAUAUAAAUGAUGCAAAUGAUUCAAAACUUUGAAUACGUAGAAAAUUCAUAACAAUACAGGCAUAAUACAAGGGGGAUAUAUAUCAUAAAACUGGGGGNNNNNNNNNNNNNNNNNNNNNNNNNNNNNNNNNNNNNNNNNNNNNNNNNNNNNNNNNNNNNNNNNNNNNNNNNNNNNNNNNNNNNNNNNNNNNNNNNNNNUAAAGCUUUUGGGUUAAGAUGGGGCUACAGAUGGGUAUGUAUGGGCCUUGUUCGUUACAGUAAUCAACAAUCUUGUAAUUAGCUUUGCUAACUGUUAGCGCAUGAUUUCGUGGUCCCGUUGUUUCCGCGGGGGCUAUCCCACGUGGCGGUAUAUCCUAAUCAGGAGACCUGGCUCGUAAGGAGUUUACAGUCCUAGUUGAGUUGUAACUCUCAUAUUUUAUUUAACUUCUUACUUUUAUGGAAUCAGAGUCCGGAUUGACUUCGACUUCCUAUUUUUAUGGUUAGUGUGGGAAGAUUAUAAAUACACGGUUAUACCCUAUGUUACGGGUAAUGACACUUUGUUUGGUGAUUGGGCGAGAUCUUGGCGUUAACACUAACCAUGAAAACAGUGUCGAAGCCACAUAGAGUUCUAUGGGGUCAAUCGCCCCCAUUGAAAAAAAAAUUGUUUUAUAAUGUAAGGUAAAUUUAAAAAUUUUUAAGUAUUAUAUAUAAAUUGACCCCACUAAAAUUUUAUAAAUUUUCUAUUAUACGGGGUCAAAUUGAAAAUUUAUAACUUUGUCAAUCAAAUUUUAAUCACAUAUGACUCAUAUCCUCUUAAUAUAUGUAUCUCUCUAUAAUAUUUUAAACUAAAUAAUAAUCUAAUUUAUAUUAUUUUUAAAAAUAAAUAAUGAAUUACUUACUUAUGAACAGUUGUGAUUAAAAAAAUCUAGUAUGAGUCAAUAUAAUGUAUAUAUACCAUAUAUUAUUACUCAUUAUAUUUUCAUUGUAAUAUAGUAUAUAUAUAUAUACUCGAAAGUAUAAAGUAUUAAAAAAAAAGCUGCCCCCGAACCCUCGCCAAAUUAUUUGUAACUUGGUAAUAAUUUCGAUACCACUGACAAAAAAUCUUGGCUCCGCCACUGCAUGAAAAGAUGAGAAAGGCUUUCAACCCAAUCUAUAGAAGCAAAAAAUAUUUUCUCACAUUGUUGACCGUAAGUGUAUAGAUUAGGGUUACCUGAACAGGACCAUGGACUUCUAAAUCUAUCUAAUUUAGAAAGUUAGUUUGCAUGAGAAUAAUUUAAAAUUAAGGAGUCAAAAUAGAUGCCUGCCAAACAACCAGCUAAUCUGCAUCUAAGGUUUCAUGAUUCAUACUAACAUAGAAAUCGUAGCAAGAAUUGAUGUUAACUAAAUUAUAAUAGGUACUACCUCCAUUUCCCACAGAUUGUCAGUUUUUGGUGAUUUCAUGCAAAAUAAGAAAGUAAAUUAUUAUUUUAGCAAAAUAUGAGUUUAUGCAAAAGUUUCUAAUAUUAUCCUAAUCCAACAUGGAAAAGUGAUUGUAAUAGCAGCCCCUGUUAAAAUUACCUACGCAUCACAUCUCAAUUUAGUACUAAAAAGGUAGUAUGGUCUUUGGCACUAAGAUUCCCUUGACUAUGAUUUUGAAACAAAAUAAAACUGAAAACUGACGAUCUUUAUUAUCAGAGCAAUAUUUUGAUAAUGUAAAAGACUUGGAGGAUGGACAUGGAAGAAUGAGUCUAGUAAAAUUUAAAAGGACCAUCCCAUGCCAAACCACAACAUGCAAGGGGAAAAAAGACGCAGGAAAAAAAAUUUACUUUUGAUAUGUGAGGAAUAUAACCACUAGUUUAUCCGCAUGAUAAAAGAUGUCAACUGGAAGCAAUGUCCACCAGUAGCAAACUUUCUGACUUUUAAAAACCAUAACAAUAUAUCUGAAGAAAUGAAAGUGAUUCCAGAUCCAAAGAUUUAUUUGGAAUUCUGCUCAAAAAGCAUGAACAUUAUAGUUUGACUAGUGACAUGAGUCUGAAGUAAAGAAAUUAUACUAUCAGUGUAGAUUAGUGAUGAUAAAGAUCAAUAAUCAACAAAGGAAAAUAUAGGGGCACAUGCUGUCAACAGGACAGCCGAUACAUAUGAAAACAGGCAAUAUUGGAUUAUAUGACUUAAAUCAUAAUUUCAGAGGUUGUACAAUAAUGAAAGUUAUAUAUAGCUUGAUAAUUACCCGAGCAAGUAGCUCAACAAAUAUUAAAGCCACAUUAACAUGUACAAAGAAUGAAAAUAACAGCAAUCAGUUUUACCUUAAUGACAAGAUUAUUAGCAACAGCCCCAAUGAGAAGAGGACCAGCAAAUGGCAGCACACAUGUUGCAAAUAUUACAAUCCGAAAUAACCACCCUGAUAGUGCAAACCACAGGAAGAAGAUCGUCUACACACACCAACAUAGUUAAGAGUGAGUAAACUACAAAAAUAUUGUGGCCGUUUACCAUAUAUAUGGAUCUAAGUAAAGUUUUCUUAAACGAACAUCUUGAAUAAGUAGAAGGUAAACCCUUUAAUAUUAAGCAAUAAAAUGCUACACACCGCCCUUUUGUCUUUCUUAAUUAAUUUAUUUUUAAAGCAAGAGUAUCGAGUUUUUAUUAAACAUCAUAUGCUUCGUGUCAUUCGUAAGUGGAGUACCGCUAUACCGCCAAAUAGUUAGUUUGACAUUACUUGCAAGUGCAACCAUAAACAUUGCACCAAUUUGCAUGAGAUAGAGAUACACAAAAUUAUAAGCUUUAAAUUUCUAGCAUUCAGUAGAUAGAAACAAGAGAUUACACAGUAGACAUAAUUUGAGCCCAUGAAAAAAGUUUUAGGCAUACACUAUAGCAUAUACCUAUUAUUUUAUUUUAUCUAAAUAUAUGGACUUUUGUUCAAAAUUUCAUCGAACAUAAUUUUGCCUAUUUCCACAGAAUUUACCUAGCAUAGGUCACAGGAUUCAUGUUCUAGUAAAACUUAAGUAAUACACACAGCAAGAUGCAACAGCACGUAAAUUCAAGAGAGAACUCACAGCAAAACUUCUUCCUACUGGAGUAUUCAAAAAGUUUUUGAGCUGCAUCCUGUACUGCAAGGAUAAGAAAAUGGCAUUAUUGUUUCUGAAGUUAUUUAAAAAAGCCUGUGCUUUAUAAAGAAUGAAGCUAAUUUUAGCCAGUAACAUUUGGAUAAGUAAAUUUAGGCAAAUUUUUGAAUUGAUAUAAAAUUGAAAUGACGACCACAAAACUAUUGAACAAUUGCAAAAGUAAAAAAUCGUAAACUUUGAAUUAAAACAAAAAGAACAUUAAUUUAGCAAAAACUUGGUGCUCAAUUCUAAUCCAAGCUUGAAAUUGCGUUGCCAAACACAGAGCAAGACUCGCCUUUGGCCAAUCUCGGCUGAAAUCAAGAGUAAAAGUCCGCCACCGCUGCGUGAUUUCCAAAUCACGAUCGAGCUCCCGGGCACGGUAGGCGGCGGAAUCGGCAACGGCGGAUAGCCGACGAGAGACAGAGUAUCGACGGUCGAUGCGCUCAGCCGUCUUCUUAGUUUCGUAGACGAGCAGCUCGAAACCAUUGUUGGCGCUGCGCCACGCGUUCCUCCAAACCUCGCCGGAGGCAAUUCCACUUGCAAAACCAUCGAAAUCGCUGCGCCUGAAGGCUUGAAUCCCCACCAGGUGGCGCGAAGAAACGAGGUGUUUGUUUGUGUGGCGAAGUCUUUGAGAGUCUGAAGGUAGUAAUGGGUGCCAUGGCAGGCUCGUCGCCAUGACUACAAAGAGGACAAAAAAGUGUUGCAGAGGAGAUUAGAAGGUUGGAGAAGAGGGUGCUAGCAUUUCUUUCUUUUAGCUUUAGCCCAGUGAAUAGGGUGCCAUGUGUUUUUUUGAUAUUUUUACUAACGUGAAAAUAUCAGUUCUAUUUAUUUUAUUGUCCAAGUCUUUUGCACGGGAUUUAUAAUUGUAUACUUUUAGCAAUAAUACUAUUAUCACAAAGACUCGCGUAAUAAUCACAUAUACAUACAUACAAACUUUGGGCACACGCCUAAUAUACGAGGCUCAUAAAUAUGUACAUGUGUAUGUGAUUAUUAUAUAAAUUUUUUUUAUCUGAUAGUAAUAUAAUUUUUUUUUAAAUAUAUAUAUACUAAAAUACACUUGUAUCCCCCAACUUUAUGAGGUAAUUUUGUCCUUUAAAAAAUAAAGUAAUUGGUUAUUUCAUUUACAAGCAAAUUACCAUUUUGUUCUUAAAAAAGUGAUGUAAUUGGUUAUUUCGAUUACUUUUGCAAAAAUUUUGGGUGAACAUGAAAAUUAGACAUUGGUAUAUUUAAAUUUUAUUUAUUUAUAUUUUAAUCUCUUUAUAUAAAUAAAAAUAAAAAUAAAAAUAAAUAAAAUUUAAAUAUAUUUAUAUUCAAUUUUUAUGUCCAUCUAAAAGAACUCUUACUUUUGACGCGUUAAAACUUCGGAUGGUGACAAUUGUCUUAAAAAUUAAUAUUUAUAGUAUAACUAUACACAUUUUUAAAUAUAAAGUGCAAAUCUCAGUGAGCAUAUAUAAAGUUUAGGUACAAUUUGUAUUUAGUCUUUUUCAAAAGGGCCGGGCCAGGGUCACACAAAUCCCGUCCACAAUAAAACCCCAAAUACGUUCUCCUCCUUUAAACGCUCCACUUUUGCGCCAUUCGCUUACUCAUUAAUUAUGUCAUAAUUACAAGUAGCUAGAAUUAGCGAAAAUUAAAUCAAAUCGAUCCAGUGUUUUUGAAUUGCAAUUAGGAUCGAUUGGCCAUGGCCGAUUCCACCGUCGGUGAGAAUCCGCCGCAGAAUGUGGCGGAAGAAGUUGCGAGAAUUGUAGAGCUGUCAAAAGAGUUGCAGGAUGCCGCUGCUUCCUUAAUUUCUCGCUCGUCGCAGGAAGAAGCCUCUCUCCGCCAGCGAGCCAUAUCUCUCGAUUCCAGUAUAAAAAAUCUCCGUUCAUCCAUUGCCUCCUCAGUCAAGAAAGGAACCCUAGGUUUCCAAGAGGCCCAAAAAGUAAAAUUUAGCAUCCAUGAAUUUGUGUUUAUAUUGUUGUGGUUUUGUAUUUGCUUAUAAUUUUGUGCUCACAGUUGGAAGAAGAGCUAUUUAGAGCUAGUUAUUUAUUGACCGAAGGAGAUGCUGCUUCUUUCCUUCCGAGCAAAUCUGAAGGUAGUGUUUUUAAUCUUCUGCAGUUUAUGGUUGUAGUUUCUAAAUUUUUAGGGUAUGAUAAUUGUCUGAAUGUUCGUCGUGUUGAUUGUCAGUAGGAAGCUUCUUGAGGAUGUUUAUUGGUCCCAUUAAUGUUCGUGCUACUCGGAAGGAUGUCCAAUUGAAAGUGAAAGAGGAAUACAAUAGUUUCAGAGUAUGCUUCCACUGGCUCCUCAUUCUUCUUUUCUUAUCUAAUCUGAUUGCAUCUUGCUAGUAGCUGAUUAAUUUUUCCUGCUCUGGAAUUUACUAACCAUUGCUAUUGUAUUAUUGUAAUUUUACUCUCUCUAUUUAAUAAAUGUUUACCUUCGGAGUUUGGAAGAAGGAUUCGAGCAAUCUAAUUGGGCAUUCCAACAAAAGAUUUACACCUUGAGGAUUUCGAUUCUCAAGAAAUUGAUUCACCAUGACAUGAUAGGCAUUACUGCGUUCUUAGUGAAUCAUGGAUUAUGGAGUGUAAACUCUAUGCGUCCAUAAAUACUCGAUAUGACAAUUGAGAUAAUGACGUGGUAGGUGGAACUCUAGAUUAAUUUGUUGGCUUGUGUUUUCACAGAUUGAUUAUAUAAUCCUGGCUGUGAGCGUAGUAGUUCCUUAGAAUAUGCAACCUAGUCUAUGUUUAGUCUACAUAAAACUUGAAGUUAAACCUGGGAUGAAUUAACAUUUGACAACUAUAUUUUCAAAUCAGAUCUAGAUAGAAGUUUGUAACAUAUGAAUCUACACUUUUUUGAGACAUUAUUUGUUCGGACAGUGAAUUUGUUAUACAAGGUUGUGAAAGUAAGUUGUUAUUGUUGACUACUUCUACUAUCUUUUAUUGACAGGAUAGAACUGCAUUGCUCUUUCUUGUUUUCCCAUCAUUGCUACUUUUGUUAAGGUCAUUUACUUCGGAUGGAUGUUUACCUGCAUUGCCAGUUCAGCUAUACCAGGUACUACAUAUGUGGACAUAUUUAAACCGUUUUGUCUUAACCAAUGUAUUUAUCAUAAUGAAGCAUACUGAGCAUGGCUUUUGCAGGCCUGGUUGCUCUUUCUAUACACAGGUUUGGCCUUGCGAGAGAAUAUUCUGAGAGUAAAUGGAAGCGAUAUUCGUCCAUGGUAAUUUAACCGUAGUUUAUAGAUUGUUCAAGCCAAUAGUUUAGUUCCUCAUAGUUAUUAGUACUUUACUUUUUCAAAAAGAAUAUGUGGGUAGUUUUUGGUUUGCCGUGGAAUAAGAGAUGGUAUUACUCUCCUUCACCUUCUAGGUGUAAGUUAUGUAAUUCUAUGGGAACGACUUGUAUUCAUCGCAGAUGGAUUUUGCAAGUCUAUGCAUAAAAGUGUAAUAUUAUAUUACAGGCAUAAAAACCUAUGUGCUAGAUACUUAGCUGCAGACGAGAACAAUGAGUAUUAGGAAAUUGUGGUUAUGGCUUUGAAUGUUGAAAAGUAAUGAUUGUUUUUGUUACUUCAAACACUUAAUAAUGUAUAAUAUCCCUUCCACUCAGCUGUUAAACACAUUCUCUUACAUUCUCAAGCAACAUAUCCCUUUUCCACUCAGCUGACAAGCACAUUCUCUUACAUUCUCAAGCAGCAUUACAUUGUUAGUGCAAAAAUUACACUAACAAUCUUGUGUUGACAUUGUUACAUGUUUUUUUAUUUCUAAAUCUGAAAUGCCUAUUAGUUUUUUGUAUUUCACCUUGAAUGUUGCAUCAUAUAUAUCUCUGCAUUUGCAGGUGGAUAUAUCAUCACUAUUGUGCAAUGGCUAUGGCGCUCAUCAGUCUGACUUGGGAGAUAGAAAGGCAAUCUGACUGUUCCCAGAAGCAGGUAAGAACUAUUAGAAUAUUAGUUUUUUAUAACGGCCUUAGUGUUUUUGUCUUUAUAACUAAAACAAUUCUGUUUACAGAGAGGUGUACAACUAUUCCUGCAAUGGGCGAUCAUGCAAGGAGUUGCAAUGCUUCUGCAAAAUAGAUAUCAAAGGCAAAGACUCUAUACUCGUAUUGCACUGGGCAAGGUGCAGUUACUGCAUCUUCACCAACUUAUUUGGGCAUGUUGUAAUCAGUCUAUCAAUUCCUUAUGCAUUCUUUCUCCUUUUUUAUUUUCUUUAAAAAACAUCUCUUCCUGGGACUAUAAUAUGUUGUUGUGCUUCUGUUGAUGAUCAAAACAUGUAUAACUAGCCAAGUUGUGAUAUAGAUUUGUUUUUGUCCUAAUCUCUUAUCAGUUUAUGGCUCUCAAAAUAUAUGUAGAACUUUUUCUUUUCUUUUUUGGGCUGGUGGCAAAUAAUGCAAACCGUUAUUAUCUCAAUCUCUUUGCAGGAUGUGAACAUACUCUCUUUUAAGAUGCAACCACUAAUAGAUUAAACUUUUUUAUUGUAGGCUAAGAGAAUGGAUGUUGUGUGGGGAGAAACUUCUGGAGUAGAUGGUCAACUAUGGCUGUUAUGCCCUAUCCUGUUCACAUUACAGGUGAUUCAAAAUGCACAAAUGGAUAAUUUGUAGAUAAUGGAUACACGUCUGCUUAAGUCUUGAUGUUAUGAUGUUCAAAUGAAUGGAGUUGAUUUUAUAUAUUAUGCAUAGCUUGUUUUAAAAUGGCAUGUAGGAUCAACCACCUAUAAUUAUCAUUAUCAUACUUGUGAAGCUUGUAGUUCUAUAAAUAUCUCUUCCAGUUUAGCAUGUAGUGAUCAUAGUUCGUCUAUGUUUUGUAAAAAAAAUUCUCUCCAUUGGAUACAAUGGUCUAUUUUGUAGGAGGGAGAAGUGGACGCAAGGUAAAAGGCGUGUUGACGACUUGACGGGAUAGAGGAAGUUCUUUGUUUCGUUGGAGGAAUAAAGAAGGAUACUCUUUCUAUUGUUUUCCAUCUUGACCUUUUUGUCCCUAAAAUAACUCCUCCUUUAAUUAGAAGGGUAUUGUCAUAUUAUGUAUUUAUGUACAUUAACUAGGAUUAUUUCUUUGUUUCCUUAUUGCCUUCAUGCUAAAACAGUACCAAAUGAACCAUAAAUAUGAGCAAGCAAAUAGAAAUUUUCAUCAAAUCAAUACAAUGUUGACCGAGGCUUACCUACAAGUUUAUAGACUUGAAGUUCUUGUGAGUGACUAGCUAAUUUUAAAUGAAACUAUAUUGUCUGGUCUUUACAAGAAUCCUUACAAAACAUGUGAUGCAUACAUUCCUAGUAGUUUUUCUUACCCAUUUCCACAAAUUUCAUGAAUAAAAAGCUAUGUAGUUUAUUGGUGAGAUCAAACAGCAUUGUAUUUGAUACUCUAGCUGUACUAGUUAAUCCUUUUGUAACAUUGAUGGUUUAUUUUUAUUUCUUAUAAAGAUAGUAAAGGAUAGACAUGGUUGUGUUUCUUAAUUUCAGGGCUUUGAAGCAUAUGUUGGAGUAUUGUUGCUUAAAACUGCUUUUGUUGGUGUUGUUUCUGAGUGGCAGGUGAGAAAAGUUGGCAGCCUUAAUCUUAAUGUAGAAUCUUGAAUAUGAAUUUGAUAACAGUAAAAUUGAUUUCUUUAUUCCUCAGCAUCCUAAUAUUGACUUUAAUGAACUCUAUUAAUUCCUUUUGAUAGGUAAUUACAUGUGGAAUCCUUCUGAUAAUUAUGGCAGCUGGGAAUUUUGUCAACACAGUGCAGACUCUCUUGACAAAGUCUCGGUUCAAGGCAAAAAUGAAGAAAGGUAAAAACAAGUAAGCAUUAGAUCAGAGAUUCGCAACAAGGAUCUGUAAUUGGGAAGACCAUUUUGAGAUAGUGGAGUUGAGCCUAAGAUGAAGGGAUGAUAUGAUCAUUAUUCCUACUUGUGGCAGUACUCUCGCAUAUAUAUGCCUAGGUAUCUGGCAAUGUUUGUGAGAGAUCUUGGAUUGAAAGGAAAGAGAGUUUUGUAUUAGUCACUCACAGUUGAACCAAAGUGUCUUACUUUCCAUUUUGAGUUCAUAUAUUUUCUGCUUUGUAUCCUAUAAUCUAAUCUUUUCUUUGCACUACGAAUGUAAUAGUUAUAUUUUUGUGCAAUUGUGCGGACAUUAUGUUUACGUCGUGUUCUUCAAUCGAUAUUCUUUGACUCGUUCUAGUUUUGAUGCUCAGUUAUAUAAAGAGUUUCAUUCCAAAAAAUAGUGACAAUAUUAUCAAGUUUAUUGUUAUCAUAAUUUUAUCAGCAUACCACUAUAAAACUAAUAAAAUAAAAAUAUAUUCGUUAAGUGCGAUUUUUUUGGUUUGUUGUUUUUUAUUUUUUUGAGGAAUGGAGAGAAUACUAACAAGUUAAUAACAAGGGUUCAAAUCCUAAACUAUGAUGGUGGUUUGAAUGAUUAUAAUUCAAGAACUAUAUUAUCAUCAUGGAUUAUUAAUUUUGAUUAAAUAGUCUUAGUCAAAUAUUUAUUUAAAAGAUAACAUAAAAUAGUCGCAUAACAUAAAUUGUUCACAAUUAUUUAAACAAUUGGAUAGAAACUUAUCCUUUGAGCUAGUAAUAACAAAUAGAUAGUAUUAAAUAGUCUCAUAUUCCAAAUAUUCUGAACUAACGGUCCCUCCCAAGUCCAAUUUUUAAACAAAUGGGGGACUCCAAACAAACAUGGCCUUAAGAUAAAGGCAAGGGUCUCAAAAUUCUAUCUCAAUUUAACAAAAAAGUAAUUAUCACGCAUCAUUUGAUAUCACAAGUUUGAGACCCUAAUAUUAGUCCGCAAUUUGAGCCUUUUGGAAAUGUAAAUUAAGAAGCAUGACUAAGAAAAUCCAAUAUUCUAAAAUUGUUAGACGGAACUAGGUGAUUGAGGGAGACGGUGGCUAAGCCUUUUCUUAGGCUUUUCUUAGUCAAUCCCAUUUAUUUAUUUUUCUAUUGUAUAUACUUGCUAUAUUAUACAAAUAUAUGUAACUUUUUUAAUUUGAGUAGUGCUACAGACACAAACUAUUUUACAAACUGCUGAUGUGAUAUACUCCACCUCAGCAUAUUGAUCAACAAAUUAUUACAAUAUAGUUUUCGACCCCACACAAUAUGUUGAGGUGGAGUAUGCUAUAUCAGCAGUUUGUAAAAUGUUUGAAGAAUAAUUUGUGUCUCUAGCAUUAUUCUUUUAAUUUUACAUGAAACAUUAUUAAAAAAAUAUUUUUUAAUGCUGAACAAAUUCAUUAACUAUUGUUGAGCUUUAAAGUAGAAGUUUGAUUCUGCCUAAGUGCCUAGCCAAAUCAAGGCGGUAGAUGACCACCUAACGCCUAGAUGGGAAUCUAGACAGAUUUUUAGAAUACCGGAAAAAGCGUCACUAUUACCACUUCACCUUGAGCUGAUGUUUAGCCAUAACACCUCAAGAAGAUGCAAUCUUUUACAACUUAGAUGACUCUGGUGGAAGCCUAGAAGAAGGCUAAUAAAAAAUUAUCCCAUACUAUGCACAUAUUUCAAGCUAUGGUUGCUGUAGCUUGCAUGAAUAUUUUACCAGCGAAACUAGAAGACGGUUUCUAGAAGUGGAAAGGAAACUACAAGGAUAACACAAAUCAAGUUGAAAGGAGUAAAAUAAUACAGGACAAGAUAAAACAUGAAAUGUAAAAGUUAUUCAAAAGGGUGAAAAAUAAUGCAGGACAAGAUAAAAAUUUGAAAUAUAAAAUUUACUCAAGAGGUGUAGAAAAUAAUACUACAGGGCAAGAUACAUUUCAAUUCCAAAAAUUACUGUAAAACACGAACAAUAUUCUGAAGGGAAGUACCGACGUCCAAUGUUGAUCUAAAUUUCAAAACGAUCACUGUCUAAGGUCUUAAGCUUCUCCAUCUCCUUCACACCAGCAAUUCCAGGAUCAAUAUAACAUAACUGAAACAUAAACUAGGUCAAGAAAGUAAUCAAAUUACUACAAUGAGACAAGUGGCAAAUGAAGACAACAACAAUUUAACCUGAUACUGCAGCUUCUUUAAUGUGUGAGCUCCUCUUUUUAUUAGCAUUUGCCAUCCAUUAUUGUCUUUGAGCGAUCUCUCAAGAGCUCGACUUUUCUACAAGUGUAUGCAACAAACAAGAAUCCUAGGCAACAUGAUGUUAUUGACCCUAAUACAUAAAAAUCUUUGGCAAGUAGUGCUAUAGAGAAAUAUAUUUAAAGAGUUUUAUUGUCCCGAAUUGGAAUUAAAUCCAACAAAGAACAAAAAAAAAAUUGUGAUAACUUCACAUCAUUAUGAGGAUCAAAAGAUUAGAUAUAUAUGUAAGAUUUCGGAAUUUCACAUAUCCCCAAAAAAAAGUAUCAAAAUUGCAACCAAUUCUGCCCCAUUAUAUAUAUUUUUAGCUGGCAGCUACUUAAAUAGGAUGAUGACUUUUUUUAAAUAAUUGAGUUGUGCUUAAACAACACAUCUAGGACUAAUGAGUUCCCCAGAUAUCCAGAAGUGUAAAGUAACAUUUCUUGAAACGUCUGAAGACAGUAACAACAAACAGUUCUUCGCUUUCGGAUUUAUUGGGAUCAAGGAGUGCCGCUAGUGAAUAUAAAGUAAAAGCAUCGAGUGGUUAUAAAGUAAGAAUCAAUUUGUUAAAACAGAUAAGUAUAUACUUACAUGACCAGGGUCCAAAAUUAAAAGGGUAUAUUGCGGCAUCCCCUUCCACUGAGAUUUGACUUGAAUUCCAACAAUUGUUCUUGAAUGGCCAUCGUGCUGAAAGUACAAGGGCCUGCUCCAUAAUGCUCCCACUUAUCAAAAUGGAAUCAGAGAUAUAUUCAAUUAUGUACUAACAUUAAUGCAUCACAAAACAAAAGCAAAGCCCGCAAUAUUUACAAAUUAAAAUUUACUUACGGUUUCUCACUGACAAUAACUUGAUGUUUGUUUAAUUCGAUGGAUUUAUUAUCAGAAAAGUAAUUCCAGACCCAAUCAAUAAGAAUCUGACGACCCUUCACCUUCCCAAGGUGGGUACUAGAAUCGUUAAGCUUUCCAUAUCCACUGGAACCUACUGGGGGAGUACUACGAUCCCCUCUAGACACAAAUUUAUCCAUUGGUCCAUAAACUUGUGUUGCCAUCCUUUUGCCUGCACUUACUUCAGCUCUUCCGCCUCCAUGAUUGUAACCAGGAGUAGAAGAUAUUGACAUUUCCUUACUAGAGAAAUCCACUAUUCUGGCACGAAUCCCGAAAGAUCGAAAAAGUGCAGCACACUCGGUAGUCCCAAUCCAAUUUCUUUUUCCAUAAAUCUCGCUAUCAAAAUCAUUUGAGCCAAGUGCAUCAAACCCCCUCUCCCAAGAAACUUCAAGCCAUAAUUGGAGUGACGCAAUAUCAGGGACAAAACCAGAUCUGCCAAAGAGAACUUCCCUCGCUUCUUGUCUCUGCUUAAGCAAGUGCGAGCUAAGCAUCUGAAUAUUACGCCAACCACAGCCCCAUCCAACGUCCUCGGAUUCAAUGCUCUGAAAAUGAUCAACAUAACCUGACAAUAUACUGGUUGAGUUGUUAGAGUCUAAUUCCAAACAAUUCCGCAAUAAGGCCAUCAAACCAUCAUUAACCUUGUAGAAGUUCUCCUUUAUCUGCAGACUGAGUAAAUAACCGAUUUUUUCAUCAAUAUCAAUCCGUCCACCACUACUGCUGCUUCCACACCUUGAUGAUAUAUUCCAAUAAUUAUUUCCAGACGCCAUGCCAGUGUCAACCUAUAAUGGUGAAGGACAGAAUAUUUAUAGACGAUAAUUUUUGAAUUUUUUAAAAAAUGAAGGGAAAAGAAAUUGUUUGGGAUGUGUUAUUUGCUUUCAAACUUGUCCACAUAAGACUCGUCUAAGUACUAAUUACCGGUAAGAAUUAGCACAACAAACGUUUACUGUGUUGGUUGAGUGACAUAAGUAAAUAUAAGAGAAACAAAAAUUGGCUCCACAUUCAGUGGCCAGGGGAAGAGCUAAAUGUUAGCUACAGUAACAUAUAUAUAAAAGCAAGAAAUUAGAUAAAUUAAAGAAUAUUAUUAUUAAAAAAAACACAUAUAGAGAGAGGAGAGGAGGAGGGGGGGGAAGAAUACCGCAUGAAGACGUGAAAUUGAUGAGGCAAGGGAUAUUUGUUUGGCCAAAUCGAUGUCCCUCUCGAGUUGUUCAUCCUCAAAAUGACUAUUCGCAUGCCUGUCCGCAUCAAUUAAAUUUGAAACCAAGUUUUCACACACACAUACAUACACACGCCAGAAGCUAAAACGAGGAUUAAUAAACAAACAGAAAGACCAAAUAAACAGCAGUAAGCACUAGGCAUAUACCUUUCGAGCUCAGAAGAAGGAACAGAUAGAUGACAGAAGGGGCAAGUCGACAUUUGAUCAAUUUUACGACUAUAUCAAAGUGUUUCUUCCUCUCCUGUCUCUUACAGGACUAAAUUUCUACAUCGCCGCUGAUUACUGUACACAGUAGUACAGAUUACAGAAAUCGAUUCAAAACUCGUGAUCUAAGCUUUGAAUUGCCCUAAAAUAAAAUCAUGAAAUAUUAAAUAAAAAUAGUUAAAAAGAAAAGGGCAUCGCGAGAUCAAACGCAAACGGUCAGCGUCAGGCUUAAAAUGAUUUAAGGAGGGAAUUUCAAUCCCGUAAGCGGGAUUUCAAUAUAUAGCAUUAGUGCAUUACUCUUAUAAUUACUCUUAUAAAUAUGGAGUAUAUUCCUGUUCGGCAAUGACUUAUUUUUUUGCUCAUAAAUUGCUUUUUAAGUAAAAAAAGAAGAAGUAAAUAUUUAUAAUUUAUUUUAAAAUAACUUAUAAAUUAUUUUAAAAUAAGUUAAUUUGAUCAAAUAUAAUGUUUAUUUUGACCCUCUUUUUAUUAAUGUCUUUUUUAAUAAUCUUUAUAUUUAAUUUUAACUUAUAAAUUAUUAUGAGCUGAACACCUUCAUAACUUAUUUAAACUUAAUUUUUAACUUAUAAGUCAAAUUGAUGUUGAACACUUUUACUUAUAAGUUAAACUUAUAUUAUAUUUUAACUUAAAAUCGUUGUUGAACGGACUUAGGCCCUGUUCGACAAACCAACUUAUAAGUCAUUUGCUAGAGUUUGGUAAUCACUUAUACUCUCACCCAAAAUUCCAAAUUUUAAUCUGUUCAGUUAUUUUUACUUUUUGAAACAUGUAUUUACUAUAUCCUUCCUCAAAAGAGUAUUAAGAAAAUAAUAAAAUUUAGAAAAAAGAGUAAAAAAACUUAUUAGUAGAUCCCACUAAAUAAAAUAUUUUUCCUUCACGAUAUAUCUUAAUUCGUUCUUUUGUGAACAAAAAAAAUUAUUCAUUUAGUCAUUUUUUGAAAACAGAAGGAAUAGUAAUUUACUUGAGAGAGUCGGGUCCAAUUUGAUUUUCAUGUAACCUUUUUUUCUCUUUUUUUAUUUUUAUAUAUACUUAGAAAUUCAAUUAAUCAACCACAUAAGAGUAGAAAGAGUCCAAUAUAAACAAAUUAGAGAGAAGAUAAAGAAACAAUUAACAACAUCAGAUUAUAUACAUGGGUGGUCAAUUUCAGGUAAUUUGGUUUAGUGGCUGCAACUCAUUUUUUGGUAAUAUAAGUACAAUCUGUUAGAUUUUUAUUUGAACUAGAGUUACUUAUUAAAAACAAUAAAUACCAAGAUUCUACUGAAGUAGAGAUCCUAUAACUUGGGAGUUUAUUUUCCCACAAAAUCAGCAAGCAGAAUUAAGCUGCUUCCUUGCUGACCAAUUGGGUUGCGCUCCUAGAAAGGAGGAGGUCUUUGAUAUCUUUGUAAGCCCUGAGCUCCUCCAUUGCAUCUGAUGUCUUUCUAGGCAAGAAGAAUUCAGAUGUAGUGCCAGCUUGUUGUUGUUCAAGUUCAUUCCUCGAGGAGGAGGAACGAGAGGAGUAGCAACUAGAAUCUUGGCGCAGGGGAGGUGCUGUUCGAAACAUGUGAACAAGGGCACCAACAGUAGCAUCUUGCGAUUUUCUAGCCGUCAAAAUUGCCCGAGAGCUUACUUCUGAUGCUUUUGUCACAUCAAGAUUACUGUACAAAAAGGCUCAAAACAUGUUUAUCGGUUGCAGAUGAUUAUUAAAAUGGAGAAGGGCGAAGUAAACAUAUAUAGAGAGAAAACAAAAAGGAAAUAAUAAUACCACAGACAGACGGACACAAAACACACACACGGAGAGAACUAUGUUGGAAAAGAAAACUAGCCAACAUAUCUCUAGUUCUGAAAAUGAGAAGAGGAAGCAGGUUCAACACAAAUUUACUUUAAGAUAAUGUAGUCUAGUUAGGAAUGGUUUUAAAUUCAAAUGAAUUUCAAUUAAUAAAGCUCGGGUCACAAUUUAAUUUUCAAUAACUAACAAAAAAGAGAUCACAAUUUCAUGUGAAGAUCUGACCAUCGUUCAGAUGGAGUGCAUGCAAUGAAGUCAUCGGAAAUACAGCUGCAUAGCAAACAAAGAGACAAGCAUGACGCUUCAUUAUUGCUGCUAACCCUGCCAAGUGAAUCAAAUAUUGGCAUUCUCUGAACACGCCAGAUUGAAUGAUCAGGGAGACUCGAUUAAGGCAGGGAAUAUACAGCGCAUUUUCCUAUCAAGAUAAUUGUUGGAGCAUAGCCAAUUUAUAGCAACAAUACGGAGCAUGAACAUGUAUGUUGGGUGUAAUGGUAUUAUAUUUUCUUAUCAUAUAGAUCCAAAGGUCUUCAGGAGUAAAUUUUAAAUUUGCAGACUGCCGAUGUUUGCAGACAUACUGGAAGAUCCGCAAUGAGUCUCAAAAAUCGAACAGUCAUUAGUGAUGAACAAAUGGCUCCAAGUAGACUAUGCAACUGGUUGAAUGGUAAACAAGGAGAAGCUUCAAGAGAAAAAUCUUAAAAUCAGAUUCCAAUUACAAAUAAAGUCACUCAUCUCUAAUCUAUGAACCAACUUAUUUCAUACUAGCAACAGUCCCGUGCCUCCGGCACUAUGGACGGUGGAAUAUAUCCCAAACUUUGGACAGUCCAGGUGAUUUAUUAAGAUGAGCGGGAAAUUCAAAAUAAUUUGUAUUUUAUUAUAUAGAUUUCUCUUCCAGUUGGCAGAACAAAUUGAACAAUAUAACUUCGGUCCCCCACAUUGUUGCAUGGCUAUUUAGGAAUUUUCAGCCAAGUAAUACCACCACAGAAAUGUCAAGAUCAAUAUUGAGGGUAGAAGCAGCAGCCUUGAAUUGCUUCUCUUAUUUCUUCCCAUGCAACAGGGAUGGUUAGGGUAACUAAUGGAGAAGAGUGAAUUCGGGAUAUUGUUAGGUUGGAGUAGGGCUGAAAAUGAACCCGAGUGGUUCAAAACCCAGUUCAAGAUCGACUCGAAAAAUUCGAGCGAGACUCAAAUUCGAUACUUAAACGAGUUGAAUUCAAAUCCAUUUUGAAACUCGAAGACUUAUACGAGUCGAAUAUGAGCCGCUUAUUGUUCGCUCAUUUAGAGUAUCGAAUUUCGCUCAUUUAGAGUAUCUAAUUUUUCUUAUCUCACUAAUUCAUAUUCAAUAAAUGUUCGUUGAUACUUACUCGUAAUCAAUAUCGAGCCAAUCUAUAUAACAUAUGGUAUUUAGUAAUUAAAUUCUCCACACACUUUGAGAAGUGAAAGGGGUUUCUGUACAUGUUCAUCUAUUGAUUCAAUAGUGAUAAAUUUUUUACAAGGCUCAAGAUCUAAUUUGAAGAGUUCAAAUUUAAAUUAUUCCAAAUAGUUGGCUGAGUUAAUUUUAUCUAAAUUAUCAUAAUAUAAAUUUGUAUAUGUCUCAAAUGCUUGCAAGUAGCUUGACUAAAAUACGAGUCAAGUCGAACUCGAGUAUAAUAAAACGGGUCAAAUUCGAAUCUGAACAAAGAUUGUAAAAUUGUAUUCGAAUUCCAGUACAAGUACCUUACAAAUGUUUCGAGUAAAAUCUAAGCAAGGUAUUGUUCGACUCGACUCGGAAAUAUUUUCACCCCUAGGUUGGAGACCUUGUGCUGAAUAACAUAUACAAUACCUCAAUGAAAUAAUACAGGCAUAAUAGUUGUUUUUAAACUACCUUGUUGAUUUUUCCACGGCAACCACUUUUCAACCACAAUUCAGUUUUUAUAGGUGUACAGAGGAAGAUUCAGAAUAGAUUUUAUUUUAUGUUCACGCUGAAUGAGGCCAAGUUGAAAAUCACUGGGAGGUUGCCACUAAAGUAAGCUUUCUAUUUACUGCAGUUUCUGAUCAAAGGCCAAAAACACUGCAAAACUGUACUCAUUUGCUUGGGCUGUUUCAAACUGAUUUUGACUAGAGAAAUAACACCCUUGAACUAAGGACUAGGGGAAAAAACCAAUGCAUAGACCUAAUAGUUUUAUCCACCAGGCUAUUUACAUAAUUUCUUCUUAAUUUUUUGUUCAUUUUCCGUUGGUGACAAUUCUUUUAACUCGUUCCCCCCUCCCACCUCUCACUCUCUACCCCGCAAAGUGUUCCAGUAGGAUGGGGUGAAAGUUCUUUUAGAGGACAAAAUGUAAAUGUUACAUGAAACAUGGAGUAUCUGGCUUGGGAAUCACAAAUUUUAAUUUUACACACACAGUAAGGCAGAAAGAAUAAAUAUAAGUACCUGGCUUGGGGAUCAUCAACAUCAUCCACAAUAAAAGGACAAGAGAAGUCACAAUCAUCCAAAUCAUCCUGGAAAGAUAAUCUACUAGAGCUUCUUGAGAAUCCAAUACGUGGUGACCCACUUGAAGAUAGCAAACCUGAGAACCUCCCUGAAUCAUCUUUACUGUCUCUUGACACCUGCAAAUAAAUACAAGUGAACCUCAUCAGGUGCAGUAUUAAAGGGCAGAGCUGCAGACCAACAACAAUCAAGUGUAGGAAAAAAAACUUAACUGGAUCAGAAAAUAUGCCUACCUUUUGACCAGAAUUUGGACCAGUUAUUCCAUAAUUUAAUUCCCCAGCCCUUGAUGAUUCUAAUUUUUUCAAUGACCUCAUUCCAGAAGGGGACUCCUGUGACGAAGAAUCAUGCUUAAUGCUUCUAGGGGAAAGAGGUGGAAGAGAAAGUCUAUUCGGGUCAGACAUAUUGGGAGAGAGGUAUCUGGGACUUCUGCCCAACAUUGGAUGUGGAAUACUCACAGGGGCCGUAUCUGAUCGCGGAAGACUUUGCAUAAGGUUCCCACUAGUAAGGUAUGUGGGGGGAGAUGGUGAGAAUGGAGGAGAAAGUUGGUAAUCAUCAAUGCUGUUAUUUUUGUAGUGAUUUGGCAGUCUAUAGUUUGGAAUCUUCUGACCAUAUAUAUCAGUUGGGGAAAAAGAAAUAUCAUGUCGACCUGUAGAAGAGCAAUAUUGUGGUGGAUAUCCACCUAUGGGUUGAUUAUGCACUAAAGAAGCUCCCCGGUGGAUGCCACUUGUCCAGCUGUGUGGGCGUUGAAAUGGUGUUGAUAAAGGUGGUUGAAUCCCUCUAGACGGAAAGGAUGUAGCACAGACACCCUUUCCACUUGAAGGGAAAGCCCUCAAAGGGUCUGUGGCAGGGCUACCAACAUAAUCUGUAAUAAUCUGUGGUGGGAAUAACGUGGAAGUCUCCAGGUUAAAAUCAGAUAGACUUUCACGAUAUUUCACAGAAAUUGAAAGGCUACCUUGUUGGAAAUCAACUGGACUAAAACUAUGUUGUUUCAUCAUUUCUUCCUCUGCCCUUGAGAAUGGUGCACUAAACGAGGAAACCUUGUAAUUUAUAUCAAAAUCACAACUCUUACUUGAUGAACACAACUUUCGGAAUGUCCUAUGUGCUGGAAGAAGCCUCAUCAUUGAAAACAAGGAACGCAGAAGGAUGAUUAAUUUCUUAUAAGUUUUCUUGUAAGCGGCAGAAGAAUCUCCAACCUGAGGAGCCAUUGUUCUUGCAUACUCAUAUUGAACUACCCACCUCUCUAUAACAGUUUCGUCUGGUGUUCUCAAUCCCUGACCAGAUAAAGAAUUCGACAUUUCUGAAACAAGUAUAAUAUCAAUUAUCAUUGGGUCCAUUAAAUUUCUGUGCCAGAAACUCAAAUUAUCCAAAGCAGCAGGACGGUCCCCCAAUACUAAACUGAACCAUUUGUCACUCUUUUUGACUUGAUUAGCUGACAAUGAGUCACUCUUGCAAUCACAAGGAUGAAUAGAAGGAACCCUCGAGUCCAAUAUCAUGUGCAAGCUUUUCAGAAAAAACUGAGAAAGGAUUUGUUCAAAUCUCCCAUAUUCACCAUGAGGACCACUACCCUGUACAUCCAUGUGUUUCAACAAACAACUCUCGACGCUAUUAAUAUCCUACUGGAAUAAGCAAUCCUCGGGUCUAGGUCUUAAUUGAUAGCGAAUUCCCUAAUUCUUGCUCUCGGUAUAUACACAAAAUGGAAUGUAAAUAUACCUGAAAUGAAAUAUAAAAAAUGAGCAUAUGAAUUUUCAAUUUUCAUAUCAAUAAUUAUAUAUAUUCAUCCAUGUUUGGGAGAUUGACACGCACAAAACAAACAAAGAAAUACUACAUAUCAUUUCAUCAACAAUUACAAUAAACUAUGGAAACAAGUAUUAUCACCAAGAUUCAAAGAACCCUAAAAGGUUAACAGAACAACAGAUCAAUCUGAAAAUCAAGCGAAAUUGAAGAAUAGGAUUCUGAAUUAAGCUACCGUGAUUUCAAAUAAUCAUACAUAAAACAGAAAAAUAAAAAUAAAUAAACAAAUCCAUACGAAACUAAUUAUCAAAUAAAGAUCGAAAUGAUGAUGAGAUUUGACAAGGAAAAAACUUACUCGAGAGAAGAGAUGCGUUGAGCAACGUAAUUAGAAAGAGAGGUGGGUCUAAUAAUUAUAAAAAACUAACGAUAGAGAUUGCGUAGUGUCUCUAAAUUUCAGAUUAAUUAAUCGAAUUUUUAAAUAAAUUAAUAUUUAAAUAAUUUGUUUUUCGUUUAGGCGCGCUAGGUUAUAACGUUAUAUGCCCAAUUCCAAGUCAAUCAACUAUUUAAACGGUGAAUAAUAAUAAUAAUAAUAAUAAUAAUAAUAAUAAUAAUAAUAUUCCCUCUGUAUUACAAUUAUUGUAAUAUAAUUUUUUGCACAAAUUUUAAGAAAUUCUGAACAUUCCAUUUGAUUUUUUAAUUGAUAAUACGUAUAAAAUGUGUAGUUAUAAAUAUUCUAAUGAUGUGAAUCACAAAUGACAAAACUUUUAUUUAGUGUUAUGAUCUGUUACAUAUUUAAAUGAUAAAAUUAUGAGCAUAUAAAUUGGUCGUUUAAUAUUUGAGGAAUUUAAUUAGUCAAAAGUGAUAUUAUAUUAAAAAUAUUUGUAAAUAUUAGUAUAAAAAUAGUGAAUGCUACAUAUUAUUUAUUAUUAUUUUAAAAUUAAAAAGGAUGGUGAAUGUUCUAUCAAAUCUAAAAAGUAAAUUCAAAUAAAAAGUACUCUAUACUUUUUUUUCUUUUUUCUCUAGUAGUAAGGGGUUGUUUGUUUAUGACUAAAUGACUGAAUCGGUCAGUCACAUUCAGUGCAUUUGUUUUGAAAAAAAAAAUCGUUUGAAUGACUGAAUCGGUCAACCAUUCAGAUGAUUUGGGUUGAACGGUUUAGUGUCAUUUUUUUGGCUGAAUGGACUGAAUGAAGUUUUUUUUUUAACAAUAUUAAGUAAUAUUAAAUAAAUUUACAAUAAUUUUGAAUAUUUUUAGAAGGUAAAAUAAUAAAAAUCUGUUAUUCAGAUUUUUCAGACAUGUCAAUUAUUAAACAACUUUUUUCAUUCAUAUUCAACUCAUUCAAAUUUAUUUUCAAAUUCAUUCAAUUUUUAUCAAACUCCUCAUAAGUCAUUGUGGUGAUAAUUGUAAUAAAAACUUAAAAAGAUACAUGGUAGUGAAGUUACAUAGAUAGCUUGGUAAAAGGGGGCACAGCCCUUGGGCCUUGACCAUUACAAAAGUCCAUUAAAAAUUGGGUUGAGAAUGAAGAAUUGUUUGAAGAGGCCUUCUGCUUGGAAGAGUGGGCCCUCUUACAACAUAGUGGGCUUUUCCCGAAGAGACUGUAUUUUACCAGGCUUUUAAGGGAGGGUGGGUUAGCUCUAAUACAAGCCUUGUAUUUUUGAACAAUAAACAUUUCAAUUACAUUAGAUCAGCUCAAUCAAUUACCAGUCAUAUCAAAUUGGGUUGUCCAUCAACUCACGAAAAUGUGAUUAUGUGAAACAUUAGUUAUUACUCCCUCCGUCCCAGUAUAAAAAUUCUGGUGGAUUUUUUACGCAUAUUAUGAAGAUGAAUGAAAUGACAAAAUUGCCCAUAAUAAUAUCAUUAAAUAGGGAGAGAGAAUUAGAAUAAGAAAAGUAUGAGAUAUUUAAUCCUACGAGUAUAAUAAGAAAAUAUGUGUAAAAGUUUGGUUAUUAAAAGAAAAUGGACAUUUAACAUGGGACUACUCAAAAUAGUAAUAAGAACUUUUAUCAUAAGACAAAAGAAGUAUAAGGUCUAGAAAGGAACUUGGGACCAACGCCCAUUGAAUCGAGUGGAAAGAGUUUAGUGUCCUUUAAAUAAGAUAUUGAGUUCAAAUUUUGCGAAUGAAAAACACCGUAUUAAAGUGUAACGUCUCGAACUCGAUACAAGACUGAAGUGUUACACGUCGUAAAUUCAAAGGCUUGCAAGAUAAUAAUAUCAAUAAUACGCAGUCCAAAUAAAACAACUCAAUAAUAUUCUUAACUUAAAACCCAACAAUAAAUACAUUUUAAAUCAAUCCAAAUCAAAUACUAAUAAAUAUCACAUUCGAAAUUAAGAGUUUAAUCAAAAUUCAUCAACAAAAUAAAUAAUAUCUAAAAUUAAACUCCAGUUAUUCCAACGUAUCAAAUAAAUGCUCAGCUUUUAACGAUAAAACCUGUAAAAAUUUGUAAGGGUGCGAGCGAUAAAAACUAAAAAAUAUUUUUUUAGUAUAAAAGAAAUUGUUACUCGCUAAAAUAAAGUGUAAUUUACUAAAAAAUAAUAAUAUUUAUAAUAUGUUUAUAUAAGUUGUUGAAUUAUUAUCUUAUUGUAGUCGAUGGGGGGUGAGCAUGGUGCGGUUUGGUGCGGUUUGAAGUCCAAACCGCACCCAAAACCGCUUAGGUGCGGUUUGAAAAAUUCAAAACCACAUCCGAAAUCGUUUGUGAUUGGUGCGGUUUUAAAGUUUGUGGUGCGAUUUUAAUUGGUGCGAUUUCGGUUCCAAAACCAAUUGAAACAACAAAAAAGUCUAAUCUUUCAAUAAAAUUUAACAUAAAACUUACAUCGAGCAAUUAACUUAGUGCAGAGUCGGCAAUGAGAAUUAUAUCAAGCAUGUUUUAAAACUAAAACAUACGCUAUAUAAAACAACGGAGACCAUAUAUUCUGUGACGCCCCAAAAAUUAGGUAUACAUCACCCAUCUUGGGUCGUCAGAUACAUGGUACAAAAUUCAAAUACAACUUACUAAUACAACUGUCGUGUACAAUACGACAAAACAUAACUGUGAGUUUGAAUACAAUUAUUGUCUACUAGAGAUUAUACAAACUCAAAANNNNNNNNNNNNNNNNNNNNNNNNNNNNNNNNNNNNNNNNNNNNNNNNNNNNNNNNNNNNNNNNNNNNNNNNNNNNNNNNNNNNNNNNNNNNNNNNNNNNNNNNNNNNNNNNNNNNNNNNNNNNNNNNNNNNNNNNNNNGAUGUCCCAACAAAAUGAUAAAGAAUGGAACAACAGAAGAAUUUCAACAAGUAUAGGGUAGCCCGCGUAUACAGGUUAUUCCAACCGAAUAAUAAAGAAUGGAAUAACAGAAGUUCUCUUCAUGAAGACGAAAGAAAGAAAUAAUACUCCCUACCUUUAGAAAAAUUGGAUACUAGAAUAGUGAGGUAGCAGACUUUUCUUCUUAUUUCUAUAAUUUCUCUCUAUAAUAAUCGCUCUAAAGCUUUUGUGAAUUGGUGAGAAAUGAAGGAAGAAUGAGCUUCUAUUUAUAGGAAAAUAUAGUUUCGAUAAUUGCACGUUUUGGGGCUCGAAAUAUUACAGUAUAAUACCUUCUUCUUUUUCUUUUUCUUUUUUAAUUUAGUCUUGCAAGUAUUAUCAAACUUGCACCAACUAACCUAAUAGUAAAUAAUAUGAAUCAAUAAUAAAUCAUGUGACUCAAUAGUUCAAAUCAUGUGAUAAAAACAAUUACAGUAUAGUACCUCCAUCUAUACCUCCAUUUUUAACUUAGUCAUGCAAGUAUUAUCAAUCUUGCACCAACUCUCCUAAUAGUAAAUAAUGUGAUUCAAUAGUACACAUAUGUGAACAAUAGAUAUAUAAGCAUGUGAAUUAGUAGUAAUUAAUUGCUCAUUUAUCCGAUAAAUUACCCGAUUUAUCGAUAUAACCCCUAGACAUCAAUUAUCAUCGGAAUAAAUGUCGAUUUUCACUAACAAAAAUAAUUUCAACAUAAUGAAACUAUUUUUAUCAAAAAUAUAAAUUUUGAAAUUUCAAAGUUUGACUUUUCCCGAAAAAGUCAACUGUUGACUUUUUGACCAAAUAGUAAAAACCGACAAAUUUUGUGUUUAUAAUCUAUUUUUACUAAUUUCGUAGUUCCGGACUCAAAUAUCACGUCUGCGUCUCCAAAUUCAACUCCGAGCACAACUUCAAUAUUAAUAAUAUUCAUCAUUAAUAUUAUAACUCAUAAUAUUUAUCAACCAGGUUGUUCCUAGGAAAGAGGGGGCUUUUCAAUAAAGAUUUCUCCCUAUUGGCGCACAAUUAGAUGACCAAACCUUUCCUUGACAGAACUUCUAGACAUUAUAAAUAUUGCAAUUUAAUAAUAUGAAUAACUUUGUCAUCUCAAUUAUUGACUUAAUAAUAUAUCAUAUAAUACAGAUGAUACUGUGACAAUAAUCGAAUCAAUAAUAUGAUAGAUAUGAUGCAAUAAUUACUAUAGCAAUAAUUGAGUAUAACUGAGUGACUUCUCACGUAAGCAUCAAUAAUCAAUACCGUGUGCUACUAUGCAACCACGCGUAUUANNNNNNNNNNNNNNNNNNNNNNNNNNNNNNNNNNNNNNNNNNNNNNNNNNNNNNNNNNNNNNNNNNNNNNNNNNNNNNNNNNNNNNNNNNNNNNNNNNNNNNNNNNNNNNNNNNNNNNNNNNNNNNNNNNNNNNNNNNNNNNNNNNNNNNNNNNNNNNNNNNNNNNNNNNNNNNNNNNNNNNNNNNNNNNNNNNNNNNNNNNNNNNNNNNNNNNNNNNNNNNNNNNNNNNNNNNNNNNNNNNNNNNNNNNNNNNNNNNNNNNNNNNNNNNNNNNNNNNNNNNNNNNNNNNNNNNNNNNNNNNNNNNNNNNNNNNNNNNNNNNNNNNNNNNNNNNNNNNNNNNNNNNNNNNNNNNNNNNNNNNNNNNNNNNNNNNNNNNNNNNNNNNNNNNNNNNNNNNNNNNNNNNNNNNNNNNNNNNNNNNNNNNNNNNNNNNNNNNNNNNNNNNNNNNNNNNNNNNNNNNNNNNNNNNNNNNNNNNNNNNNNNNNNNNNNNNNNNNNNNNNNNNNNNNNNNNNNNNNNNNNNNNNNNNNNNNNNNNNNNNNNNNNNNNNNNNNNNNNNNNNNNNNNNNNNNNNNNNNNNNNNNNNNNNNNNNNNNNNNNNNNNNNNNNNNNNNNNNNNNNNNNNNNNNNNNNNNNNNNNNNNNNNNNNNNNNNNNNNNNNNNNNNNNAUAUUCCACUAAUUUCAUGGAGUAUAGAAGUCAAAAUUUUAAUCAACUGAGUAUAAUACCGAAUGGAAUAACAAAAGAUAUCACCAUUCAUGUGAUACUUCGCAUAGACGGUUAUUUCAACAGAAUAAUAAUAACGGAACGAGGUCAGGUGAAAUUCACACCCACAUGAUGUUCCAACAGAAUAAUAAAUGCGGAAUAAUAAAUGAUGAAACCAGGUCCGGCGUAUAGCACAGACAUGAUAUUCCGACAGAAUAAUAAAGACGGAAUAAUAAAAAUGGAACCAGGUCCGACGUAUAGCACAGACAGGAUAUUCCGACAGAAUAAUAAAGACUGAAUAAUAGAAGAAUGUCACCAAAUAUAGGGUAGCCCGCGUAUACAGGUUAUCCAACAGAACAAUAAAGAAAUGGAAUAACAGAAGUUCUCUUCUUGAAUACAAAAGAAUAAUAUCCCUUACCGUAAAAUAAUACUUUAUAUAAGAGUAGUGAAGUCGCAGAAAACUUUUCUUCUAUCUCUCUAUAGUCUCUCUCUAUAGUUUCUCUCUCUAGAAUUCAGUGAAUUCGUAAGAAAAUAAUGAAGGAAUGAGCUUCUAUUUAUAGGAAAAUGGAAUGCAUAGUAACUAAUCCAUGAACAGUCCAGAUUGAUUUACUUUAAUCUGACGGUCCAUAUUUAAAGAAAAAUCUUUUAAAUUAAAUAUAAUAUUUUCUAUUUAUAUAAAAAGAUUUUUACUAUGCAAACACUGUGCAGGCACUAUGCAAAUACUAUGCAUAAUAAAAUAUAAUAUAUUCUAUUUAUAGAAUAACUUUAAUAAAGAAUUCUGUUUUAUAUAAAAAGAUUUUACUAUGCAAAACACUAUGCAUAAUAUAAAAAGAUGUUUCUGUUUUAUUACGUUAAUAAUACGAAUAAAACAAAACUUAUAUACGGCACUAUUCACGUAUACGGCACUAUUCAUGUAUAUGGUAAACUAUUGUAACAAUAAUUGAACAAAACUGAGUGACUUCUCACAUAAAUAUCAAUAAUCAUUACCGUGUGCUACUAUACAACAACCCAUAUUAAUGUACUUUUACUACCGAGUAGUUCAACAGUAUCAACGGUAAAACUUCCGCCGUUAUUUUCAAUAAAAUAUUUUUGUCGUUUUCUUAAUUCGACAAUAAUUUUGUUAUGGGGUCCACCAAUGAUUAUACCGUCGUACGAAUAAAUUCUGACACAAAGAAUAUUCCCUGACCAAUCGAAUAUAAUAUGACAACUUGCAUACUUUACAAAAUUUAUAAAUACUACCCACAACUAUAACAUUAUAUCAAAUCCAUACCAUAAUAUUAAAAAAAUAUUUCGAGAAAAUUAAAUCUUUAUUCAUAAAAUCUGGGGUUUCACAUAUUCGAUAACAAGCAAGAAUGUUUAUCUAGUUCCCCAAAAAUUAAAAAUAUAUACUGGAGAUAGAAAUUCUAUCUCAUAUAUUGCAAGGAUGACUUAUAGAAUAUAAUCCUAACUAUACUUAAUUUGAAAAAUAAUCUAUUAUUCUAUUACUAUUAUAGCAUUGACAUUAACUAAUGCAUCAAGUGCUCGAGCCCCUCAGCUAUAAGCCCUUCCAAUAACGCAUCAAACAAAUUCGAAAUUAUAAAACCCAAUUACUUAAUUUUUGACUCUAUAACCUUUAACAUCUUCUUUCAAUUGGUGAAAAAAUGACAAUGCAAGACUGGGAUUUUCUCUGAGCGUGUUUAAGUGAAAAGUAACUUUAGAAUUUACUAGAGAUAAUACAUGCAUACACACAUGGUGCGGUUUCGGUUUUAUGCAUGUGGUUUUGGUUAGUAGUCAAACCGAAACCGUAAAUUUGGUUAUUCAACUCACCUAAAAUCGUCACAUACGUCGAAAUUAUUAGUACGGUUCGUACAAUUUUUAGUGCGAUUUCGAUUUCAAUUUAAUUACUUGCUCAGCCCUGGUCGAUGGUCUAUUGAAGUUGAUGAUAUGGUGGAAUGCCACAAAUUUCUUUAUGUUUUGCUUAUUGUCUCUUUGAUGAUACCGAAGGUCAAUAAGUGUGGGCCCGUGAUGGAAUAUUUCAACGUCCUUGUAAUUGUGGGUCCAAUAUAGAAAUAUGCCAACUUCGCGUUCAACUUUUUGAUACAAAUCAACACGCAAAUCUAUAAAAUCAAAUUCAAAUAAUGAUUCAAACAGUCGUAAAACUUUACCAACUUAAUCCAUCAACAUUAAUAGUUGACCCUAUUCGAGUUUAAUUUUAUUAAUUAAGAUUUAUAUUUUAUUAAUUAAAAUUUAAAAUUUAUAAACGAUGAUUUAUAGUUUAAUUACCAAAGUUUAGAAUUUAAUAUUGUAUUAUUAAACUAAAUACUCAUUAAAUAAACACGACCAUAAUAUAUUUUAUACAUUUAAAAAUGAAACUUUUCUUCUUAUUUAUUAAGAAUAAGCCGAAUUAAAAAUACUGUUUAAUUAAGCCGAAUUUUGAGUUUAGCUCGUUUAACAAACAAUCAUGUUUGUUUACAACUAUUCUCUCCGUCGAAUAAUAUAUGACGUUUAAAAGUUAUGUAUAAUAUUAUGUUUUUAUAAUACUUAAAUUCUCAUAUUUAUGAUAUAAUUUCUCUUAUUUGUAAUAUUUUUUUAUGAUCAAUAAAUUUAAAAAAAUUAUAAUUAAUUCUUUUAAAAUAUAUAAAAUAAAAAAAUAAAAUCAUCUAGAACGGAGGAAGGGAAUAUGGGAAUCGAGGUGUCAUAUCUCAUACGAAUAAUGAAUAAACUUUAUUACGUGACACAAAUUUAUCAUUGACCCCACUUAACAAAUAAAUGAGAAAAAAGGGCCCAGUUACGUUAGCACGAUGCCACAAAGCCAAUAAAAAGUCUACUAAAUUGACAAAAACAAGGUACCAAAGAUAUAUCGUCAAAUUUUAUGUUUAUUUUUUUUAUUAUUUACGUGAAAUCGUGAAUAAAUAUUAAUAGUAUUUUUUUUGAAAAUAUAUAUAAUAAGUGUGAUUUUCAUAUAAUUUCUAUUAAUUUUAAAUAUUAAUAAAUUUAUAAUUAUAAUUUGAUAUAAAUUUAUUACAAUACAUAACAUAAAUGUAAUGUAUAUUAACUUCUAUUUUUAAACAUUUCAAUUGCAUUCACCAAUCAUGUCAAUAUGGUUUGUCCAUUGCAAAGCCACAACAGCACAACUCAUGGGACUGAAUCAUUCGAAAUUACUAAUCUCAGUGGUAGUCGAUAGACACGUUGUGUGUAAUUAUUUUUUAAAUAUAAUAAAUUUUUUAUUAUAUUAUUAAAUUAAAAUAAAAUAAGAUAAAAUUGUAAUAAAAUUAAAUUAAUAGAAACUAAUGGCAAAAAAGAUUUGUGACACAUCCUUGACAGAAUUGUUAUUUUUAUUGCUCUCCUUUAAGAAAAUAGAGACGGUAUAGGAAGAAACUUGAAAUUCGAACCAAACACUAAAUGCAUAUUUUGAGUUUGGGUUGAAAAUCAAAUUCGACCGGUUCGAUUACGAUCGGUUCGGUAUUUUUAUAUCUUGGUUCGGUUUUUUUUUUUAUCUAUCUAAUAAAAUAUAACUGAUUUUAAAUUUUUCUCUUACUCUAAUAAAUCAUCUGAUAGUAUUACUUGUUCUUUAUUUACUGAAUUAUGGUGGAAUUUUAUAAUCGUAAUAGAUAAUAAUAAAUAACGAAUUUUUGAUAAAUGUAUGGGUAUUUUUUUUUUUUUAAAUAAAAUAAAAUAAUAGGUAACAAUCGGUUCGGUACGAUGUUCUAGUCAUAUGACACCGGAAUUUGGUUAAAUGAAUUUCUAAAAAUCACUUCAAAAUUACUUAUUCGUCUAGUCAGAGUUGCACUAUAAAACAUUAUUUAUUUAUGGCUCUUUCUUUAUACCUAACAAAAGAGUAUCAUUUUGAAUUUAUAAUCUUAUUUUCAGAAGUUUAAAACUUGAUAUUAAUUCAUUUAUUUACAAUUAAUAAAUAUGUAAUUAAAAAUUAGAAAAUACCAACAAUUAAAAAGAUUUUAUUUAAAUCUCACAUGAAUCUCGCAAGUUGAAUUUUUAGAUCUUCUAAAUAAUACUCUUGUAAUAGGCUGGAGAUAAUAUUUUUAAAUAAAUUGUUGAAUUCCUAUCUACCCUUGUUUUCAUUUUUUUUAAAAAAGAAAGUUUAAUUUGUUAUAUGUAUAUAGAUAUANNNNNNNNNNNNNNNNNNNNNNNNNNNNNNNNNNNNNNNNNNNNNNNNNNNNNNNNNNNNNNNNNNNNNNNNNNNNNNNNNNNNNNNNNNNNNNNNNNNNUACAAUGCCAUCGCGUAUUUACAAAAAUGUCAUCGCGUCUCUCCAAAACGACGUAAUUUUAAUAAAAAAAUGUUAUUUAAGGCGGAAUGCUAUUUAAGGAGAAUGCUCUUGAUCCUGACCGUGUGUAUAUAUAUAUAUAUAUAUAUAUAUAUAUAUAUAUAUAUAUAUAUAUAUGCGUGUGUGUGCGUGAAUAAGCUCCAGAAAUUUAGGGUUGGGCCACAAUCAUUGACCCCAUCUAUUAUAUUAUAUACAAAUAAAUUAGAAAAAAUCUAUUAUAUUAUUAUAUAACAAUAAAUUAGAAAAAAUGGAAGCUUAUAAAAUGUGAAGAGGGUAAAGGUAGGCAAGCGAAGCGAUGACGAAAUGAUACAUUUAAUAACUAGUAUUAAAUGUCAGCAUAACCAAAAUAACAAGCCAAGUACCCAAAACUUCUCGGAUCGAAUCUCUUUCAAGAUACAGUGAACCUGGACAACCCCAUUCUCAGCUUAUAAAAACCUCCCCCACCAUUCAAACAUCACAACAAUUACUUCUUCCUGUUCCAGAUUUAUCUAUUCUACUCCGCACGUACUAUUAAUUCAUUAUUAUUUAUUUAUUUAAAUUUCCAAUUUAUAUGGCUCCGAACGUAGCCGUUCCGUCGGUCCAGUCAAAGUCAUUCCGGCGAUCAGAGGCGACCGCGUCUCCGGCGGUGGAGGAGGAGGCGCUGAGGAAGAGGAACGAGGAGCUGGAGAGAGAAUUAAAGGAAAGUUUGGAGAGAGAAGAGAUGAUGAAGCAGGAGCUUCGCAAAACAUGGCAGAGACUCCGGGUGACUGAGGAAGCCGAGGAGCGGCUCUGCUCACAGCUCGGUGAGCUUGAAGCCGAAGCCGUUGACCAGGCUAGAGGUUACAGAACUCGAAUGUUGUCGUUAAUGGAUCAGCUCUCCGUGGCUAAGAAGCUUCUCGAAUCAGCUUCCAUUUCUAUUCCCACUUCUCAAUGAUAACUGAAUUUCAUAUACAUACAUAUACACAUACAUAUAACAUAUAUAUAUAUAUAUAGUAUAUGCCUGGCUUAACUGGCUAGAUUUGUAAUUUAUUUAAUUUUUGAUUAAUUUUUUGUGUGUGUUCUUGAGUCUUGACCAAUGACCAUUGUGGGUGUGUAGAAUAUUGUGGAAUUAUUGGUUGUAGAAUUGAGAUAUACUGUAUUUAUUUUUAUUUUUUAUUGGUGCACGUCUUCCCGGAAGCAAUUGUAUUGGAGAUGGGACGAGGGUAAAGAGGUAAUUAGCUGUGUACAACUUUUUAUUUCUCGUGGAUGGUCUGUCUAUGUUGUAAAAAUAAACUUUUUAUUUAGUGAUUUGUAAACUUUUGUUAAAUUCUUUAAAGUCUAAAUUCAUGGUGCAUGUGUAUAAAUGUUGUUGAGAGCCCGGGC